rnacentral:lncRNA from 1 species
ACAAGUCACCUAUUAACAAAAACGUUAAACUUAGUAACUAUCAAAAUCCGACUCAAACUGAAACUCAUGUCCUAACCCAUGAGCUUGUCACUCGAGACAAAUCCUCCUCCUUGACCUCUAAAAGGUCACCGAAACGUCCUACACAUCCUAUAGAACUACUAACCAGAUUCUCAUGUUCGGAUUUACCUAAAACUGAACCGAACGGAACUUAGCACCAAGAGGAAACCCUAGCAUGCAAUAAUGGUAACCAAAACCUACAACCCACAUAUCAACACGAACGUAUCGAAGAGUACUACCUAACCAGCACCACAAAACACCACAGACACUACCGGACGCGCCACCACAGGCGGCGGCGGCGAGUGGGCCCCACGCGCCACCCUACCAACGUUCGAAUUAGGGCAAACUCACAACACGAAAAUGGUUCCGGAAAAAAUGAAAAGGAAACCCAAAACUUUUCUUAUUUAACCCUAAAAUUCCCGUAAAGCCACGAACUUCCGUUGACCAUAAUUUCCUCAUAUGAAGUCCGUUUUACACGUGUCACGUGUCUACGAACUCGUAUCGUCGUGUUCUACAACUUCCGUGAAGGAAGUUUCGCGAGAAACCCAACAUAUUAGAAAGUCAACUCUUGACCCUUUAGAACCAUAAAACCAUUUCAGCUAAUUUACGCAUCCGAACCCCUCCGCUCUUCCUUCGAACCUCAAAACACACUAACUUCUAACUCGAAAAAUCAUAAAUAAUAUUAGAAACUAAUAUCAAAUUUCCAGGGUAUUACAAAAUGGCUUUACCUAAAGAUUUAGCUUACGGUAGGAGUUCUUCUUUAGGCCAAAAUACUAUUAAAUUGGCUAAGGAUUUAGUUUAUGAUGAGAGAAUUUGGUAAGCUAAAAAUAGAUUCUAUAGAAUAUUUUUAUUUUGUAAGUUAAAUUUGGCUUAUUUUUGACUUACGAUGGGAGAUGCUCUUAAAUACGUGCAUUGUCCGUGUUCUAUGUAUUGAUUACAAAUUUUCUUUCAAAUUUUUUCUUUACCGAACUUACAAAUUUAAGACCAAAUCCGAUAUGUGAUUUAUCUUAUUCUUUUGGACCUCUAUUCAUUAUUUUCUAAAAAAUUAUAUAAAGGAAAUUCACCCCAAGAUACUGUUUCUUUCCAAGACAAGAAAAAAGUGAAACUUGUCGGGAAACGAGAGCUUGUAGCGGGAGACAAAAGACCGGAAGCAGAAUAGUUACAGUGGCAGGUGAUGUGUGAUUGGUCAGGGCAGUCGAGCAGUAAAAAGCACUAGCGUCUUGUUUCCACCUUUUUAUGUUUUUAACUUGCUUUUCACCCGGUAGGGUAAAAAAACAAGAGCAAUUAGGAUUUGGAGGAAAAUAGUAGUAGGGUGGCGCAGUGCACGCAUGACGCAGAGACCAAAACGACAAAUUGACAAAACGGCCUCACACGCACACCCCCCGCGCACAGCCACCAUCCAUUUUGGGUCCCACACACGCACAAGGGGCCACGCCCAAACAUACUCAUUUAAUGACCUACUAAAUAGUCGUAAUUGCGCUCAAACCCACCCCCAAUUUCGGUUUUGUUUCUGUUUUAGUUCCUAAGCUUUCAUAUAUUGCAUUUUGGUCACGGAGUUGUGUAGGGUUUUGCAGUCUAGUUGUUAGACUUUUAGUGCGUUACAAUUUGGUCACUAUAUGUCGGAUAUGUAAGUUUUUUUUUUUCCUUUUUUUUUUUUAAGGUCGGAUAUGCAAGUCUUUAAUUCAAAAGAAAGAAACAAAAUAUUAGGGUAUAACCUUUCGAGUCGGUACUUUAAUGGGUUUCUUGAGCCGGUCAUAACCUCAAAGGAGUUAUCGAGAAUAGUAGACUGGAAUAAGACAAAGAAUCAUGCAAUCCAGGUAGACAAAGAUAUUUCCUAAAGAAAAUGAUCGAAUUCAUUGAUGAGAUAAAAGUAAGGUAUUGGCAAAAAAUCGCAAUCGAUAAAUCCGAUUUUAGAGGAUUAUAAUAAAAGUAAGGAUCUGGCGUGACUAUAUGCCGACUUUUAUGUCAUAACUGACAUAAUUUAUCGAUUGACAAAAAAUCUUUCAGAACUUAUUAAACAAGUUUACAGUUAUGUAGAUACAAAGUUAGAAUUUGUCGUGAUCGAAUAUCCAUCAGUUGCCAUUGGCAUCAUUUUUUGAUAACAUUCAUUGUAAAACAUAAUAGUUCCUUACUUACGCAUGCGAUCAUUGUGCAAGCUAUUUGAUCAUCUUAAAAUGGAGAUAGACACAAAAAAUGAACAUGUAUAGUUGAGGCUCAAGGGCUGAAAUGCGUGAACCACAAAAACUUACCGGGCAAUGCUGCAAAAAAAUCGCAAAAAUUAUGAAAAAUUAAUAUGGUCAUUUAUUACUAACCUCUCCCACCAUCCUUUUUGCCCAAAUCUCAAUGUCCCCGGGAAGCAACAAAAAGAGAACCGAGAGUGACAGAUACUCAAAGAGUCAAUUCCUUUCUCUCUCCCUCUCCCUCUCCAAAGUCAGUCAUUCCGAUCCAAAACCACAACAGAGAGAGAGAGGCCCCUCCCAAAUCGCCACCCCUUGUCCUCUCUCAUUCUUCAACGGUCACCUCAACCCCCGUCUCUCUCACUGUGAGAGAAGACUAUGAGUGUAACGCACCUGAGCCCAUAGCCCCAUUACUGUCUCUCUCUCUCUCUNNNNNNNNNNNNNNNNNNNNCCUCUCUCUCUCUCUCUCUCUCUCUCUCUCUCUCUCUCUCUCUCUCACUACGAUGAGGUUGUUUGUUCGAGAUCAAAUUCUUCACUCAGAAUGAGAUCUUCAGCUUAGCUCCCCGGCGUAGAUUUCCAAUUCGCGAUUCCGAGAUGCUGACGUGUAUUCCCUGCUCCAAGCAGCAGCUCAACAAUGGAUCUCUGCCGCACCAGGACGACGACGACGGCGUCGUCGCCACUCCCCGGACGAAGCAAGCCCUCAAGGCUCUCACUGCUCAGGUAAUCCUAAUUUGUUUCUCUGUAGUAGUUUGUGGUCUGUGUUUGAAACGACGUCGUUGAUUGAGAGUUGGUGUUGGUUUUCAGAUCAAGGAUAUGGCAUUGAAGGCGUCGGGAGCGUACAAGAACUGCAAGCCGUGUGCGAGGCCGUGCGGCGACCACCGGAACCGGAACUGCGCGGAUUCCGACACGGCGUCGGAGUCGGCAAAGUUUCACUGCUCGUACCGGAGGACCGGGAGCGCGAAUUCGACGCCGAGGAUGUGGGGGAAGGAGAUGGAGAGCCGGCUGAAGGCGCUUUCGAGCGGCGAAGGGACGCCGACGUCGGUGAGUGGGAGGACGGAGUCUGUGGUGUUGGUGGAGGAUGAUGAGCCGAAAGAGUGGGAAGCGCAAGUGGAGCCUGGUGUGCUCAUCACUUUUGUUUCUCUGCCCCAAGGAGGAAAUGAUCUCAAGCGCAUUCGAUUUAGGUACAUUUUUUUUUUGUCUUUCGCUCUGUUUUGAUGUGAUGGUGGAGAUUCUGGUUUCGGUGGAGUGUGAGUUGUGUGUGAUGAUGGAAUGAUGACAUGGUUUUGGAUUGUGAUAUUUGAUUUUACGGUGUGGUGUUUUGUCCUUUGCUUGUUGGACUUGUGCUAUUGUUCUUGAUCUGGGAGUGUAUAGCUUCUGAUUCCUUUUGAGUGUGAUUGCUUGUUUUUAGUAUGAGGAUGUUGAUUGGGGUUGAACUUUUGUGAAAUUGUCCUUUGUAGUUGGCAUUGAGUGUAAUAGUCAUGUAAAUUGAUACUUCUUACAAUCAUUUUGUAGUAAUAGUUUUCAAAAGCUCAGGCUCUCAUUUAGUUAAAGAUUUUAUUAUCUAGUUUUCUGGUCAUAUUUUACCAUGUCUGUAAGACCUAACUUUCUGGGUACCCCACUGUGAUCAGUGACCUGGGGAUAGUCCUCUCCUCUCUCUGCUUCAUUCAUCUACCAGUGUUUAAUGGUUUGGCAUGUUUUAGCUCAUUCUCUUGAUCAUCUCUGAUUAGACUUGGGUCUUGGGUGUGGUAUCAAGAAAGAAAAACAUUAUUAUUAUGUAACCUUCAAAAUUGUAACUCCCUCUCUCUGGAUCUUAAUAUGGCAAAGCCUAUUUAGUUUUGUUUCAUUCCCAUACAUCUUUGUCAACAAUAUUCAAUAUCCCAUCUCCAAGGAUUUGAUAAAUUAAUAUCAAGCUAUGAUAUAUUCGACAGCCUUGCUACAGGGGAUGGUGUUUGUAUAAAUAUUGAAUGACGCUGGUGCUUUUGUUUCACGCAUUUAAUUCUUGAGGGAACUUAUCUGGGGAGUCUAGUCAGUUUUUAAGAACAGAGAAACUAACCCAGAUGUCUAUUGCAUUGCAUCUUCGGGUAGACUAUAUACCCAUUCAGUAUAUCCUAUGCAAAAUCCACUGUUACAACUUAAGGUUAAUCAUCUGCUAUGCAACUGGCUGUCAUGAGUGAGAACUGUGGUAGUAUUUGUUUUUGUUGUUUUCUUUUCCAUUUCCCCUGUUCCAUGUAAUUAUGGGUUAAAAGUAUUAGUAGCCUUAGUUCCACAGUCAGAAUUGGCAGAAGUUGGUGCUUUUUUGCCAGGAAUAACAUUAGCUCUGUCUGCUUGAAUUAACUUUGAGUCAUCCGGCAUGUAAUUUCAGCCUGAACAUGUAGUUGCUAGAAUUGCACUAGCUGAAUUAUGUUUAGUUGUUUAUCUUGUUGUUGGACAUGCUCUCAUAAUUUCUUAUAAGCUGCUAAUCAUUGGUUUGUAACUUUGACCAGCCGGGAACUGUUUAACAAAUGGCAAGCUCAAAGGUGGUGGGCAGAGAAUUAUGACAAGGUCAUGGAAUUAUACAAUGUGCAAAGAUUUAAUCACCAAGAAGUCCCACUUCCAACACCUCCUAGAGAUGAAGACGAGGUGAGCUUACCCCAAAUAUACAAGCAUAUUUUUCUUCUUGAUGCAAGGCUAGGUUUGGUCAAACAAGUUACAUUUUGAAGUACAUAAUAAAACUUCUUCUCUUAAACCUUUGUUAAAAUUGGAUGGAUGAAUGUUUACAAAUAUUUAAUGGGGUCAACUGCAAUUAUAUUGUAUUGCUUAAUUACUUUUUUUUCCUACCCCUUUUCAGAGUUCAAAGGUUGAAUCUUCGAGGGAAAGUCCUGUGACUCCCCCAAUGAACAAAGAACGCCUGCCCCGCAACAUUCAUCGGCCAAUGGGUGUGGGGUACUCUUCAUCGGAUUCACUUGACCACCAUCCAAUGCAAUCCCGUCAGUACUGUGACACCAGUGGUUUAGCUUCAACACCUAAACUUUCCAGCAUCAGUGGAGUCAAAACUGAGUCAUCAUCAAUAGAUGGUUCUAUAAGGAGUAGUUCAGAGGCAGAUCGCUCAGAGGUUUCAAUUAGCAACGCCAGUGAUAUGGAGACUGAAUGGGUUGAGCAGGAUGAACCAGGAGUGUACAUCACUAUCAGAGCAUUGCCAGGUGGGGGUCGGGAGCUCAGACGUGUCCGGUUCAGGUACGUAGCUUUUAUUGUGGAUGUUACGUUACUUAUGUUUUGGUUAAAGGAUGGAAAUAAUAGCUCUUAUUAGUAAUUCCCUUUGCCUUUGGUUAUUGCUUCCUUCGACUGUUCUGUGAAACAAGAAUGACAAGGAUGAUAAUUACUGCAAGUACCCAAUUUAGUAGUUUAUUCAUAUCCUGUUUAUUAGCCACUGCACCAUCCCACUCUCCUCCCAACUGAUAGAAAUGGAAGAAAGUGCAGGGACUGAUAAUUCAUUUUCAGUUAUUGAACAAUGAGACUGUGUGACCAAAUUGGCUUGUAUAAUAGUUUUUUUUUAUUCUGUUAUUAUGCAGCCGUGAAAAGUUUGGUGAAAUGCAUGCGAGAUUGUGGUGGGAAGAAAAUAGGGCCAGGAUUCAGGAGCAGUACUUAUGACUUAGAAGUUAGCACAAGUUUGACAUGGCGGUGCAUGGGAAUUGCAUUUCCCCUUGAAAAUGACAUUAAAAGGAGCUGUAUUCUUAGGCUCAAACCUCAUCAGAAAAGCUUUCAUGUAGCAAUAUGUCCCGGUUACUUGUCUUGGUUGAAUAUAUCUGUGAAUUAUGGGUUUCUUUUUUUAAAUUUUUCUUUUCUUUUCAUUGAAUGUUAGUUUCUUGGGCAUUUGGUGAAUGGGGGUGUGGACAAUGGAUAUGAUGAGAAAUGUUUUCUCACCGGAAUGAAAAGUUGGUUUUAAUUGACAGGUACUUCUCAUUUUACUCGGUGUAACCUGCUCUCAGUGUCUGAAAUGCAAUGUUCGUUGCCAGUAAAGGAUUCUCCAGAUUAUAUGCUCUGAUCACAUUCCUUAUCGGGGUUUUCCUUGCUCUCUCUGCUCUUAGAGGCAUAAAGUUUCUUCCUAUAUGAUUGAACCUGUUGGUACAUGACUAGGCAUUAUUGGAGGUAAUGUUUGGUUUUUUUAGAAGAAACGAAUACUCAUUCAAGUUAAAUUAUAACUUGUUUGUAACAAGUGCACCAAGAAGUAAGGUGGGGAGCUAAAAGCAUUACAAUAGGGCCUAUUAAAUGUGCUCAUCUGGCAAGAUGAUGAGCAACCGUAUUGCUCUCCUUAUAGCUUUGUUUAGAAUGAGUUGCCGGCAACUCAGAAAAAAGGGAUGAAAUGUCACCAUAUACCAAUCUCCGGUGACGGUGAGGAUUAAUACCUUGAACAUCUGUUAACGCCUUGACUAGUUGAAGGUAAUACGUCUCAAAAUGAACAGGGGAAAAGCCAUGAUCAUCCACUAAUUAACAAGCUUCUAUUGUCACUUGUCAGCAUCUCUUGUCACCAGUUGACGUAAAUGAUGGGUUUCGGCGCGGUGGUGCUUUGGUGGCCGCAUACGUUAGAGGAUGCAAAAGGUGGACUUAGUUGGGUUAGGUCCACUCUGCUCGGCCAUCUCAGUUAUGGGCCUGAUAUUCAAGUUGGGCUCAUCUCACUUGAGAUGGAGAUGAUAGCAGAUUUAGGUCAUCUCCAAUAGGAGAGGGCUAUAUUAGGGUUAGGGGCCAGGGUUAUAAUUUAGCCCUUAAAAAUAUUAUUUUUUAUUUAUAAACUACUAAACAAUCUCCGGUAAGAGAUGGCUAAAUUUUAACCCAAUCAAAUAUUUUAUGAUUUCACAUUAUAUUUUCAAACUUAUAAUUUUAUUUUAUUAUAACAUUAUUUAUAUUUGGACCAAGAUAAAUAUUUGAGAGAAAAAAAAAUAUUUUAUCUUAUUUAUUUGGUUUCGUUGAUAACAUUUUUGGCUUAGAUUUUCAGUGCCACAUGUCCGUUUGCAAAUGAAUUUUUGGAUUCCCGAUUGGAUGUAAUGUUAAUCAUUGUAAAAAUUAUCAGAUUUUUGGAUAGGAUUUUCGAAUGCCGCGUGUCGUAAUGUGAUCAACUCUCUAGAUUUUUGAUUAGAUUUUAUGUCCACGUGGCAGGUCUAUCUACAUCUUCAGACCUCAAUAAAAAGGGUUGUUUCGAUAGCAUAUCUCACCAUCUCUAAUAUCCUCUCUCAAAUCUUUUGUCUAGUUUACAAAUUUUCAUUACAUUUUGCAAUGAAUUCCAACUAGUUUUCUCAAUGGAAUGAGAGGCUACGUGAGGAUGAGGAAGAUGAUGAAGAAGAUGAAGAAGAUGAUGCACAAAGGCGAAGAAAUACAACACAAGUUAUGGCGGAAGCAGCUGGCUGGUUAGCUACUAACCCACUACAACAACAACCUUAAUGGGGUGGCUCUGUUCGAGGUCAUGCUACCCGUCACCGAUCACGCGAGGUAGCUAAUGAAAAAUUAUUAAAUGAUUACUUUGUAGCUGACCCUGUGUACCUUGUGAAAAUCUUUAGACGACGUUAUAGGAUGAGGCGUGAAGUGUUCCUUCGCAUGUUAGAUCAUGUGCAGUCGACAGAUCCAUACUUUAGGCAGUCACAAGAUUAUGCCGAGCGUCCUAGAUUCUCGCCUCAUUAGAAAUUGACGUGUGCACUCUAAAUGCUAGCCAAUGCAUGCUCGGCUAAUUCCUUAGAUGAAUACUUUUGUAUGCCUAAGUCAACAACCAUCGAGAAUAUUGGUCGAUUUUGUCAUACCAUUGUCACCAUCUAUUAAGAACACUACCUCCGGGCUCCUACAAUUGAAGAUCUGGAUAGGCUUCUACAAAGAGCCGACCAACGAGGAUUUCCAGGAAUAAUAGGUUCGCUAGAUUGCAUGCAUUGGCAAUGGAAGAUUUGUCCGAUGGGAUGGCAAGGCAGCUUUAGCGGUAAAUCAGAAAAACCAAGAAUUGUUCUUGAGGCUGUGGCAGGUCCGGACACCUGGAUCUGGCAUUCUUUCUUUGGAAUCCUUGGAACCUAGAAUGACAUCAUUGUUCUUGGAUGCUCACCACUUUUUGAUGCUUUAAUAGCAGGUCAGACACCACAACUUAACUAUCAUGUUAACAGAACUCUUUACGAGUUUGAGUACUACCUUGCUGAUGGCAUCUACCCAAAGUGGGCGACACUUGUGCAAUCAAUCAAACAUCCUGAGAAUGAAGCAGAAGAGUACUUUUCCACUAAGCAGGAGGCGUACAGGAAGGAUGUUGAAAAGGCAUUUGGGAUUCUACAAGCACGAUUUGCAAUUAUUAGGCAACCUACAAGAGGUUGGGACUGAGAUUCAUUAUCGACAAUCAUGUUAGCUUGCAUAAUACUUCAUAACAUGAUCUUCGAGGACGAGCGAGAUGACUACUACAAUGGUGAGUCUGACGACGAUGAACCGAAUCCAAAUAGAUCAAGAAGAGCUCAGGCAAGAAUAUAUGAUGACCCUAAUUUGCCACGUGAUCCAAGAACCGGACAUAUCUCAAUGGCCGAAUAUAUGUCCCGUUACCGAAGGAUACGAUCCCGUGUUGGAAAUAAUAAUCUACGAAAUGACCUUGUCCAACAUGUUUGGGCAAAUAGGCGACAUUAGGAGGAUGAUGAUGAGAAGUAGUAAUAUCUAGGUGAGGUAAUAAUUGCGAAAGUUAUUCAGUGCACCAAGGUUCAAGUGAACCAAUAGCCUCUGACCAAUCACAAUCAUUCGUUUAAUACAGUCAAUUCUAUGACACUAACACCGUUAGAUAAUUAAGACCAAAAAAAAUCCAAUCAACAUGGUAAAAAUAGGUAAGGCUAUAAUAAAUAUUACAGGGGCAAUUAAUUCCAAUAUCAAUGGGAGAAGUUAUCAAUGUUUGACUUUAUUAGUUUUUAUUUAUUUGUUUUUGUUUUUUUAUACACAAUUAAAUCUUUUUAGUGAGACUUUUUAUUUACUUUUUAGUUUCCGGAAAUGCAAAGAGGGAUUUUUAUUCUUUUUUUGUUCUUUUUUUGUUAUUUUGUUUAAAACGUAAUAACUAUGGAGUUUACCUAUUUACCCAUUUGAUUAAUGUGGAUCUCUUAGUGCUCAUAUAAGGGGUAGACAUGUAAAAUUUGCUAUCAUGAUUAGGAUUUGCUAGGUAUGAUAUCUACUUAUUAUUUUUCAUAUGGAUUGUUUUAAUCAUAAAUAAUUUAUUUCAAUUAAUAUAUAAAUAAUUUAUAUAUCUCACCAUACUACGUACCCUCAGACUGCGAAUAUGUACCACAAUGUUUCACAUUUUAGGUAACAUUGGUCGAACCAUUAAGAAUUGAAAUGACGUAGGAAUAUUUUGGGACGAUGGUUAUAUAUCAAUCUUGUGACGUGUAUCAUGUAAGUUUGAACCAUCAGUAAGCUCAUGUAUAUUACUGAUUCAUUUUAACUAGAUUCUUUCUUUUAGUGUCCUUUUAUUUCGUCAAUGAACUUCAAAAUAAGUAAGUAAACGAAUUAAUUUUUAAAGGGAAUAAAAAAAAAACUACACUAGUCAAAUUAAUUGUCUCUUAUAAUUUUGGUUAUUAUUUUCACUUUGUGGGUUUGAGCCAACUCAAAUGACGCGUAAUAUAUUUAUACAUGGGCUUGGUAAGACAAAUAAUUAGAUUGAGAAUAAAAAAGAAAUUAUCUCACCUCUUUGCCAAUGAGAUUAGGGCUAGAAGGUUUAGGCACCUUCACAAAACUUGGCUUCAUGAGCUCUUCUUUGUUUGGCUCUGGCUCUGGCUUCGACUUCGACUUUGACCAUUAUUGGAUCUAGAUUCCGGGCACCCAAAUUCUAUUGGAAAACUUCUUCAUGUGCUACGUAUAGAUGUUCAUCAUAAUUUUCAUGUGCUGCGCAUAGGUUUAUUUUUUCUUUUUUGAAAACCAUCGAGACACUGUUGUGGACAUAAAAAUUUUGUGCAAUCCGUAAUAUGAAACCGAAAGUUGAUAUGAAUUUGAAUAUUCCAUAAUGAAAUUUUUAUUUAUAUUAUAUUUUCAUUAAUAUACGGUUAUACUAAUACGAUUAUAUUAUAUUUUCAUUAAUAUAUGGUUACACAUUAGUAUGUCUCAUUAAGACACACUGGUCGAUCGCUAUAGUUUUCCGAAUUUGUCUUAGGUAUUUUUUAAAAAUUUUUUAUUCAAUAAUUCACACACCCUACAUAUAUCAGGUUUUUUUUUUCCUUUUUGUUUAAGGAAAUUAUAUUUUCGUCUUUUUGUCAUGUGUCUUACCCUAAUACACGUAAGAUUGAUUAAUCCGGUUUCCUUAUUAGAAUAGAUUAUAGUUGAUAAAACUUUUAGAUCCUUCUAGAAAUAGGUCUUUUUAUCAAUGAAUAAAUAGACCGUUAUUCUCGUUAUAUUUUCUCUUUCAACACAUUAUCAUACUUUCUGCUAUAACCCUGAGUUCAUAGCCGAAAAUCCUAGAAAACUUGAAAAAAAAAAAAAAACAAAAAACCCUAAAUUUUUCUGCUAUCGUACCUCAUCGAAUUUUGCUCUGGGCACCCAUAUUUUUUCUUUGGGCACCCACAUUCCCCAAAGGCGAGCAACCAGCCUCCUCCUCCAACCCCGGCGCACCUCACUCUGCAACACAAGCGCCCAGCCGCUUCGACGCGCCUUUGGUCAGAACAGAGGCACCUGGAUUAGAUCCCCAUCAUUCUCUUUUAGGGGUGGGCAUAAAACCCGAGGAAGCAAAAAAGCCCGAGCCGAACCGCCCGGUCCCAUGUCUGUUUUUUAUCUUCCGGUCCGGGCCUAAUAAUAAGAAAAAAUUAUAGCCCGAAAGUCCGAGAGUAGUAGCAACUAGUAGUGUGUUCCCACUUUGUUACCCAACAAAGCCCACAAGCCCAUCUUAGACUUUGUUAUCCAAUAAACCCCACCACCCCAUCUUAGUCCCUUACAAAGUCACAAUCAUUCAUUACAGACUCUCUCUCUUCUCUUUCUCUUUCUCUCUCUCUCUAAUUCCAUUGAGGUAACUCAUCUCUCUUUCCUCCCUCUUCAAUUCUCUAGUUCUUUGUGGUAACUCAUCUCUCUCUUCUCCCUCUUUAAUUCUCUAGUUCUCUGCAAUUUUCUAAUUCCAUUGAGGUAACUCAUCUUUCUCCAAUUCCAUUGAUCACGAAUCACCCAACUGAGAGAGGGUCCGGUCACCCAUGGCGAGUCAACUCGGGCUAAACCCAGCUCCGCCUCCGAACGUCUCCACGGUCUACAGUCUGCACCUCACCCAGGUCAGUGUUCGAUGUUUCUUCUUCUUCUUCUUCUGUUAAUUUUGUUAUUUAACAGCUUCUGAAACAUUAAAUAUGAUGGUGAUCUUGAGCAGAGCUACUCGUCGGUGGUGAAAGUAGAAUCGGUGCUGGUCGGCGGUGAGAUCAGAUAUGAUGGUGAAUUGGUGAUUGGUGGUGAUUGAAAUGGGUGGUGAUGAGAUCGAAUAUGGAAUAGGGGACUAGAGGAUAGUGAAAUGGGAUCGGAUCGGAUCUGGAAUUUGGUGGUGAUUGAAAUGGGUGGUGGUGAUUGAAUUGGUGAUUGGAUUUGAUAAGAACAUGCAACAAUACUUUAAGGCCCGAAAAACCGGCAAAACCGGCCAGGCUUUUACUGGUCCGGGCUCUUGCCGGUCCUGACGAAUUUAUGUGCAAAAACCGGCUCGGGUUAACAGUAGCCGGUCCGAGCCCGGUCCCUCCAAAAACAUUACCAGUCUGGGACUGAGCCCAGCCCUACUCUCCACCCAAUCUGCUACAAUCCGCUAUCCUCGACUUGGACUGAGAUCAGUGACAUAGCCUCCAACCUAGGGACUGAACCACUGAUCCGGCAACACUGCUCCGUCACUGCCGCACCGGCAACCCUGCCUCUGCACGCGAGUCUCCGGAAACACAAGCAGACCUGCGUCCGAUCGGGGAGUAUCAAACCCCACUCGAUGGGCGCCGCAUAGCCUAGCCCCUAGGUGCCCGUCUCUCGGCAACGCUUGCCUGGCACCACGUUCGCCCCCCGCCCCCGACCGUGACGGUGGUGAUGAAGAGAAGGAGUGAGGUUUUCUAUGAGUGAGUUUUUCUGUCGAUUUACUGUAGUUCCAUUUUUUUGAUCGCUAACCCUAUUUGUUUUUCUGUUAAUAUGCAUGAGUGGUUCAAGUACACCUUGGUGCACUGAAUCCGCUUCAUAAUAAUUGACAAUUUAUUGUCAUGUUUUAUUCCUCAAAUUAAGUGUUGUGUGUUUUUAUUGUUUUUCUUAUUGUGUGGCUUGUUUUAUUUUGUAAUGAAUAAAUGGCAACUUCAGUGCCAUUUAUUUUGUAAUGAAUAAAUGUUUUUAGUAGUGAUGAAUAAAUGUUGUUGCAAUUAAGCAAUCAAAAAGGUUAUGUUUCUCUCCCUAGCUCUGCUAGGGUUUUACUCGGCAGCGGCAGCAGUUGAUAAAACUCCUAAACUGACCGGCAACGGUGAUUCUCUUUUGACGAGGAAGGAGAUCUCUUCUCCAGUCUCUUCUUCUCUAAUCAAAGGCAGUGAUGGAUGGCUCUAUCGUGCCUUCUAUGAGCGGCGGAGGAUGUCGAGUCUAACAUGUGGUGGUGAUGGCGGCUUUGUUCAUCAGAAUCUCCUAAACAAAGGUUUUGGUUGUUCUCUUUUUGUUUUUACCUUUGGGUUCGAUACAAGGGAGGGAGUAAUACAUGUCGAUCAAAUUAUGGCUCAGGAUGGAAUGAGAAUGUUGAAGAGGAUUGGAGCACUCGGAGGUGGUUUGUUUGGCGAUAGUUGGGAGCCCUCAAUUCAGAUCUAUGCAUCUCAGAUCUCGGCAAGAGGCCAUGAACCAGGUUUUCACCAUAUUUUCGCUUUUGGGGAGGAUGGUGGUGUUGUGGCUUUGAUUCCGGAUUUGAUUUCGACGGCGCCGCUGCUAUCUGAUGGUGAUGACGGCGGGGAAGAGAUGAAAGAUGCUAGGGUUUCUCUCAAGGCUUCUCUGUGAGUUGGGCUUGUUUGGACUUGGGCUGGAUCAGCUAGGGCUUCAUCUGAUUGGGUUCUGGAGGAUGAAUUUGGGCUUGGGCCCCUAAAUUAGAAUGAGUUUUGGUCUAGGUAACUUGUGACGACUUAGAUAUUUUUUUUUGAAAAUAAUAUUAAUAUCUAAAUAGUGUGUAUAUAUAUAUACAUAUAUUAUUUUCUUUUUAAACUUGUUGGUAUUUAGUGUUUUGUGUGUGGAUAUAUAUACAUAGAGUUUUAUAUAUAUGCUGAAAUUGUUUUAAUUGUUUUUAGACUUGUUUUUAUUUUAGUAGGAAAGUUCUUAGCCCAUAAACCAAAACCUUGACCCAAUAGUAUACCCAAGAUACCUUAACCCAAGCCCAAACUUAGAGCACUUUUCAGGAAACAUGUUGUCUCAAAACGACGGACAAACCUCGACAUCCAAAAAAGCAUUGUCUCUCUUCUUCAUCGUUUUCUUCUCCCUCCAGAUUCUUCCCAAACUGAAACCUAGUCAACCCUACCCGAAACUUGCUCAACCGCCCUCAAACCUAGAAAAUAUCCUAGGAAAAUCUUAAAUAUUAGCAGCCGACCUUGCCAAGCAGGAGGUGUCGAAUUCUCAGAGUUCGAUCGAUGACUCCUUCAAGCUAUUUUGCAGGAGCUGGAACCCUAGGAGCCUAGAGGUGGCGGGUCUAGGAGCUAAACGACUAAGUACUCAGUUGAACAAAUCGAUUUUUGCUUGCUGUGUUCAUAUCUUAGGGAUUAAGUUCCUAGACUCUAUAAAUAGCUGUGUUCAGUAGUUUGGAGAUAGGUCUUCUAGCAAUCCCCAUACUUAGAGUGAGGGAGAGAUACCUUGGUGUAAGAACUCAGGUGUGAUUCUAUUUUGGUUUGUUUGUGAAAUUAGAUUAUGAUCACUUUGAGACUUGUGUAGAAUUGUUUCUUUGAUUUGAAAAGUUGUAAUUGAGCAUUGGUUCUGAUUUUGUUGUGAAAAGCUGUGUGUGGUAAGCAUGAUCAUUGAAUUUCUUGGUUAGCCAAAUCAGUCCUCUAUUGUAGAAAGUUAAGUUAUGCAGUGGUUGUUGUUGUUAGGAUCCCACGUCUUGGAAACUUGCCUUAAAAUUUGAGAUAGACUAUUAUCAGCAAAUUCUUUUUUUAAAAACAAAAACUAGAGCUGUAUCUGAAAUUCGAAAUUUCAUAAGUAAUUGUAGAAAAAUCCUUUUUAUGUGAUUCCAGUUCCAGAUUGUUCUUUGGGAUGUCUAUUUCAAAUGUUGUGAAUACACCAUCUUUAAAUUCCCAGCCAAAUUGUGUCGUUUUUAGCCUGAAAGUUUACUGGACAGAAAGUCAAGAAGUUAUCUUGUGAUAUCAGAAUUUUGUUGUUUUCAGUUGCACUUUUUGUUUUUUUGUAAUCUUUGUUGUUAUGCAAUCAUAGAUGUAUUGAAUUUAGAAUAUCAUGUUUGUGAUUUCUGUUCAUGUACCUGACAUGGAGGAUUAUAUUAGUAUGAAGUGAUUAGGAUUUUCUUGUUGUUACUGGGAACUAUCUUUGAAAAGGAGAAACAUGAUUUUGAGUCAAAAUCUGUUAUUUUGCUGAUUCAUAUCAGUAACUUUGAAAAAUCAUAACUAAUUGUAAAAAAAUCUUUUUGCUACGAUUCCAAUUCCUGAUUGAUCUUUAGGAUGUCUACUACAAUUGUUAUGAAGACACCAACCUUAUAUUCCCAGCCGAACUGUACUGUUUUUAGUCAAAGAUAUUUCUUGUCAGAUACUUAGUAAGACCUUUUCUUAUUUCAGUCCUUUCAGUCCUUUGUUUUUAGUCUUAGUGUUUGUCUUUGAUUCUUGCUCGAUUUGAUAUGAUGUUAUACAGAUGUAUAGAUUAGAUUAUAAGGUUCUUAUACAUAUUAUUUGUUUUUCAAAUUGAAAUUAGAGAUCAAAGAUUUGGGUUGCUUAAAGAUAGUUGAAAGAUUAGAAAUUUAUGACUUACAUGUUGCUUAUUUCUAGUUGUCUUUGUGUCAUUUAAUGUCAGCCUUUUUCAUUGAAUGUUUCAUGUGCUUUCUGUAUGUUAAAACAUUGGAGUCUUUAUGUUUAGUUGCUAGAAGCUUUGUACCAUAUAGUUUGUAUGUUUUGCUUUCAAUUACUUGAAAUAGGCAGUUAGCAAGAAAUUUCAGAAAAAACCUGAAGCUGUAGCUGAACUUUGAAAAUCCAUAACUAAUUCAAGAAAAAUCGUUUUAAGGUAAUUCCAACUCUCAGUGUUUCUUUACUGUGUCUACUAUAAGUCUUUAGAAGAACUCGAAGUCCAAUUCUAAACAGUUUUGUACAGUUUUUGAAGUUCAGGUGACUGGUUCAGAAAGUUAGAUGGUGUUGCUGUGUAAUUAUGUGAAACUGUUUUGGUUUGCUAUUGUAUCUUCUGUUUAGCAUCCUAGCUGAGUCUUAAUUGGAGUUCUAUGUACUUGAUUUGCUUAAAUUAAUGCAUGUAUCUUUUAUUAGGAGCUUGCUUCAGGUGAUCGACAAAGGUAGGGGAAAACUUGGGGAACCUCAAUACUUGCUUUAUAUUUUGUUAUGUGAAUUACUUCUUUUUGUGAAAUCGUUGCUUUCUUGUUGUAUUCUGUUCAUAAUGUGGAGUGGUUUUUCAUUUGUGACAUAAGAAAGUAUUAGUGCUAUGCAUAAAGUGCUUUGGGUAAAGAAGUUAGGAUUAAACUUUUGUGUAGUUGAGUUCUCGUCCUCGAAGGUACCACAUCCCACUAUGCCUAUGUGAAUGCGUAAGAAUAACGCAAUUAGUAUAGGUGAAAAAGGCGGGAUUGGCGAAAGAGGAAUGGACAAGAUAACUAGCAAAAGAGGAAUUUGAGAUUGAAUGGGAGAUAGUUCAUAUAAAUGAGUAUCCUAAGUCACCCUUGUGGUAAAAUACAUGGUAUGGGACAUGUAGACUUAGUAUAUUCGGCUAUAUGGACUAUAUGAAGUAUAUAGUAUAUAGUAUAUAGUAUAUGCAUUCAUUCAUUUUGUUAAAGUUUAUGAUAUGUUUUGUUUGAAGAGGUUUUUGCCUCCUACUGGGCUUAUUAUGCUCACCCCUUUAAAUAUUUUGCAGGUGAGAAAUAAGUAGUUUGAAGUUGGUUUCUUGCAUGGAUCUUUUAUUUACAUGUGAAAUAUGUGUGGUACGGUGUUGUUUUCCUUAGAAUAAGACAUAGAUUUUGUAAUGUUACUUUUUGGAGUACCAUGUAAUAAAGAAUAAAUUUCAGUUUAUUGUUGAGUUGUUCUUUUCCAAUUUCUUUCAUAUUAUAUUUCAUGAAAAAUCUAUUUCAUAGUUGGAAUAUGAGUUACACCUCAAAAAAAAAAAAUCCAAAAAUUGAGGUGUGAUAUAACUAGUGAUUUCUGCAGAGUCUUGAUAGUUUUCUCAGAAACUUAAUUUCACCUGUAAAAUAAUUGUGAUUAAUCGCUAUAAGGUGGGUGUACUUAGGAUUUCAAAGCUUCUGCUUUAUCUAGUAUAGGACUUGCAAUUCUGCAAAACGAUGUUUCUGACGACCCCACAGGGGUACAUUGUCUUUGUACUGCUUGCUCUGAUUUAAAUCGAAUGACCUUUUGAUAAAAAAAAUUAAAAAAAUGUUGUUGCAAUUAACUUCAUUGACAUAAAACAAAUAUAAAAGUAAUUAUGUAAAAAAGUCUUACUUGGUCGGAUUGAUUAGCUCCAAUAUGGAUCCUCCUCUCAGCGCGUUUGAUGCAUGUAUGCCAUUUGUACAUUGGUGGGAAGAGGUGUUUUUGCCAUCUAGAUUUACAACUCUCAAAGUUUCUAACAUUCGGAGGAGCGCCAUUGAAAUAUUCUUUGAAGGAGAAAAUACUGGUCACUCCAUUAACUUUUAUGCGCUCGACAGUUUACUCCAUUAACUUUCAAUUUCAAUCGAUCACUCCUCAAACUAUCCAAUGUCACACAAUUAGGUCUAUCCGUUAAGUAGUCCUCCAAAUCAGUGGUUAAGUUGCUGACUAGACAUAUUUUUCAACUAAAUGAAAUGAGAAAUUUCAUCUAACACCCCACCUCUCUCUCUCUNNNNNNNNNNNNNNNNNNNNCUCUCUCUCUCUCUCUCUCUCUCUCUCUCUCUCUCUCUCAUUUAAAGCCCAUCAGCCAGCCAUGGCUUCCCACUUUUCUCUCUCCAUUGCUUCUCUCUCCGUCGUUUCUCUCAUCACCCUCCUCUUCCUCGCCGCAACCGUCUCAUCGGACGCCACCUCCUCCAUCACCAUCGGCGUCACCUAUUCUGCCUCCACCGUCGCCACCUACCCUACCCCACCGCUAUCGGAGUGCGUGGCCUCGACUGCCACUUCCCUCGGCCUUACCGCCCUCCGCCUUGACGUCUAUGACCCCAACCUCAUCUGCGCCUUCCUCUACUCAAACACCACCCUCCUCCUCACCAUCCCCAAUGCGUUGGUCCCACCUCCCGCCACCAACCGCACCAACUCCCUCCGGUGGCUUUACGCGCACAUCGUCCCUUUCUUCCCUCGCACUAAGAUCGCCGCCAUCUCUGUCCCUUUCUGCUCUGUUGCCGACCCUUACGUGUUCUACAAUUUCAAGGUGUCCUACAUCACUGCUUCACAGCUCGGAGUCCCUGAGAGGGUUUAUGUUUUAAACCCUUAUGUCUUUUUUUGGGUUUUAGUUUGUUCUCGGUGAUUGUUCAUAGCUAGUCUUGGUUUUGAAUCUUGGUUAAGGUUUUGUGGAUCUUUUAUGGGUUUUGUGCUUUCUGUGAAAUCCAGAUGAGGCGCAAUUCAUGGCAGGAUAGUGUUCUUGGUACGAAUUGCCACACGCUCCGGUAACGGAGGGGUGAGGUAGGUGGCGGCGGUGGAGGCGGAAUAGGUGACGCCGAUGGUGGUGGAGGAGGCGGCAUCCAGCGAGGCGGUUGCAGCGAGGAAGAAGAGGGUGAUGAGAAAAAAAUGGGAAGCCAUGGAUGGCUAGAGAGAGAAAGAGAGAGAGAGGUGGGGUGUUAAAUAAAAUUUCUCAUUUUAUCUAGUUGAAAAAUAUGUCCAGUCAGCAACUUAACUACUGAUUUGGACGGUCACUUAACAGAUGGACCUAAUUAUGUGACAUUGGAUAAUUUAAGGAGUGAUCGAUUGAAAUUGAAAGUUAACGGAGUAAACUGUCGGGCGCAUGAAAGUUAAUGGAGUGACCAGCAAUUUCUCAUUCUUUGAAUUUUUGCGCCACUUGUUUCCAAAGACCGGUUUCUUUUUGACUCGUACCUUUGUCAGAGUUCUCGGACACUUUGAUGAACGAAAUGCAAAGAGCUUCAUCUUCCUUUGUUGUCCAAUUAGCUCCUUUGAUAGACAUUUUUGGCUAACAAGAAAAGAAAAUAGAAGAAGUAUGUGAGGUGAAUUGCUAAAGAAAGAUAGAAGAUGUGAGUUAUGGAGGAUUGUGGGUUCUAUUUACAGGAAAAAUUGACAGAAUCAAAAUUUUGCUAUUUGAUUUAAAAAAAAAAAAACUAGCCGUUUUUUCGAUUUAAUAAGGAACGAGUUGAUUUUUUUUAUUUAAUUAACAACUAGCCGUUGUUAUUAAACAACCACCAUAAGCAUUCAAAUCAUUGUGGGGAAAAUUUUUCCUUUAGGGAAAAUGUGAAGCAUGUCCAUAACCAAUUAAAUGCCACAAUUUGUCAAAGUUUGACUCAAAUUCAGCCACCCACUUGCAUCAAACUGGUUUUUUUAUUCUGAUGAGGGACCACUCUUUGGUCUGAACUGGGCUAGCCAAAGGGCUAAGUUUGGCCUUUUUCAUGGCCCUUUGGCUCUUUUUUGGCCCUUUGGCCCUCUUGUUAUUCAUUGUUGGAGACCAUAUUAGGGUUAAAAUAUAGGAAUUGGCCAUUUAGACUCUCUAGUUGGAGAAGGCCUUUGGAGUGUGAAAACUCCUAACACUAGGGAGCUUACCCACGAGGUUAAGGGUAAUGCUAUGGUGUGUUAAUGUUCUCAUGAUUGAACUUUUUAUUAUAACUUGAAUGACUAUUUUUACCAAUCUAAGGACUCAUGUGGUAACAAAAAAUAUUUAUCACUUUAAAGACUCAUGUUACCAUAACCAUACCAAGAUAUCAUCCAUGGCUGAAGAAGAGGACUUGGCUUGGAUUCAAGGGUGAGUCCUUCUCAAAAUGAUGUGGAGCAGUUCCUAGAGAAAUUGGAUCGGCGCAAGCAUCCACCAAUGCAAUGUCAAAAAAAAAAACAUUAAAUUGAACUUCUUUUACAAGGUUCUUGUCUUUCCUUUUUCAUGUUGAAACGAGAAUCAAUAAGGGGAGAUGCCAACCGUUGCGUUUAAGGACUUAUUUUACAACUUUACGAUAAUUGCGUGCAUGUCAUAUAUUAACAUAGUUUCACCCUUCAACUAUCCAUAACUCUUGGAUCCCAGGGUCGCAAAAUCUACUCUUCUUGGUUAGUCCCUUUGGAUUUCAUGCUUCUAAUUUGGUGUGAUUGUGUCUAAUAAGUGUGCUUAUUUGCAUUGAUAAGGUAGGUGUAUUGUGGAUCUAGGUUAUAGUUUCGUCUAGUUUCUUAGAGACAUAAGAGGUAGCUCAUUUUACUGUCUUAUCGGUCGUGUUUAGGUGUCUUAUCUUUGUACAAUCUACUGAAGUUUGAUAGAUUUGACAUUCUGGAUAAAAAAAAAAAACAAAGAACAAAAAAUUGAUAAAACACAAUAUUGUAACUAUUUAUUAUUGUAUGGAUAGACAACUUUGAUGAAGCUUUAAGUGGAUAGUAAGGAGGCGAUUAAAUCUUCUAAUUCAGCGGUGAUAAUAGAGGCAUGCUAUGACUGUUGAUGGUGGUAUACAACACCUCUGCAUGAGUAUGGCGUGAAUAUCUUGUUCUCAUUGGGAUGUGUAAAUGACUUGGGCAAUUGUGAAUUCAAGCAUGAUCAUGGAUGCCUUGUUCACCUCGUAUUAAAAUGGAAUUGUCGUGAUGGUUUUCUGUGCGGUUGAUUAGGUUUAUAAGUAAGUUGACCUUAACUAAUUCGUGUUUGUAAACGAUUGGAUAUCGCUUGAACUAGCUACAUAGGCACAUCACAAUACUCAUUUUUCCUAAAUAUGAAAAUGUGGAUGGUGCUCGGUCUUGAAUGAGAUCCCGGUGUUUUGUGGAUAUGUGUUUUUUUUAUGGCUUCCAUCUCCGGCAUGAGUUUUAAUAGCACGUAUUUAUUAUUUUCCGAUAAGUGAAUAUGAAAUCAUUCGUGUAGUUAUUAGUUUUGUCACGUUUUUAACGGUUACAUCAUUAUGUAUAAUUACUACGCUCAUUAUGACUCGAUCGUCAUUUUCCACUAAAAGAAAUUACAGAAUAUCAAUUUUCCAUUGCAAUGACUACAUUACCCUUUUUGUCAGUGAAAAAUUUGUUGUGCGGUCCUGUAAUAUAGCCCAAUGAUGAGGGCAAAUCUCCAAUCAUUAUUAUUAUUGGGCUGCAUCAAAAGUCUUUGAGUGGUAAAAACGUUUUCAAAACCUCUCUCUAUUUCUUUUCUCUCAUAUUCUAAAUGCACCCAAAACCCUAGCCCCUCCUCGCUUCCCUCUCUCCCUCCUCCCAUCUAAUUAUAUAGUACUGGGUUUUCCUUCUUCUUCUUUUUUCAGUUUUUAAAUUUGGGGACAGAAUUAAGGUUUCAGCGAUGGUCUCCGGGUCGCGAAUCGAAGGUGGGAAUCAGAUAAUCUCCGCCGGAGUGAGAAAAACUAUCCAAACCAUCAAAGAAAUAGUGGGCAAUCACUCUGAUAUUGAUAUCUAUUGGGCUCUUAAAGAGACCGAUAUGGAUCCUAAUGAAACUGCCCAGAAAUUACUCAACCAAGGUCACCCCUUUUGCUCUUUUCUCACUUGGGUUUUGUUUGUUUUGGUCAUCUUGUGCUGGGUUUUGUUCAUACUCUAGGGUACCAUUUUGCUUGUCGAGUUUGGAGCAGUGGUUGGUACUGAGUUUGAAUUGGAAUAGAAUAGUAGGUUUUGUUUUUUUGUUUUUAGUUAAUUGAGUUUGGGAGUUGGUUUGUGGAAUGUGGAAGUUGGUGGUUGUGUUAAGGAGGGUAUUCCGGUGUAGAGUUUUCGGGCUUGUGCAGUUGUUUUGGUUGAAUUUAGUGUCCUGCAGUUCAAAAUGUAACCAUUUUGAGUUAUGUUGUUCUGUGUCUUUCGAUAUACUUGAUGUUAUGACCGAUGUUUGUCUAGUGUGAUAAAGGGAUUGGUGGAAUUCAUGAUUCUAUACAGCUUAACUGAAAUUUUUAGUUGGUGUUCAUGCUUGUGCACAUUGGCUAUCUCCUUUCACUAGACAUUAGCUAUAUGUUUGUACAUGUGUAUAUUUUCUGUACGAGACCGUAUUGUUGCUUUAAAUCUUAAGCCUGUUCAUAAGCUUUAUUGUGUAAAAACUUUAGCUUGUGUAAAGCUCAUUUUCCUGAUCAAUUUAUUCGUGCUUUUUUCUUACUAUUAUUGUUUUUACUCAGACCCGUUUCAUGAGGUGAAGAGAAAAAGAGACAAAAAGAAGGAGGUGCCACCUAAGGUAUAUUUGGUUUGGCUCUACAAUCUAUAUUUCAGAUAUCAAACAGUAGUUGUCUCGCAUAAUUCCUUUCGUUUAUGGAGAUACAAGUUUUUUUUUUCCAAAUAAAGAGUGUCUGUUGCAUUUUAGAACACCUACUUAAUUCAAAUCACCAGUCAAUAGUGGCACAAACCUAUAUUCUACCUUUGUUUACUGAGAUUUCUGUCCUAUUGUGUCUCAUGUCAUUGAAUUGGACAGUUUUCUCACCAAACUAAAUCCACUGGGAACUGACACCACAUGUUGUUACUAAAAUGAUCUGUUUUCUAGUAAACGAUGAAUAGGAACAAAACCCAAAAUCCACUGGGAAGAUUUCAUGUGAUGUAAGAAAAGAACAUAUCAAAAUGCAGACAUUUUAACUGAUUUUGUGUAUUGAUGGCUUUAGAGUAUCGGCCAAAAGGUUCUUACCGAACCAAGAAGACAUGUUGAGAGUGCUGGUCAAGGACCAAGAUCAAAUACAACUUCUGAACGUGUUGUGGAGCCUAAAAGACAUUUUGAGACUGCUGUCCAAGGACCUAGAUCCAAUACAAAUUCUGAUCGUAAUGUUGAGCCUAGAAGACAGUUUGACAGUGCAGGUCAUGGACCAAAAUUUAAUAAGUUUUCUGAUCGGAAUGUUGAGCCAAGAAGACAUUUUGAGAAUGCAGGUCAAGGACCAAGACAAAGCUCAUUUUCUGAUCGGAAUGUUAGAAGAGGUGGUUAUGUUCGGAGGGGUUUCCCUGGUAAUUAAUUUUCCCUGAUUUCAUUUCAGAUUUCUUUUUAUUUUCUUUUUCUUUGAUAUGCACAUAUCUAUAUACUGUCUCUCUUUUGUUUCAAACUUUCAUGAACGUUUAUUUAUUUCUUGAGUUGCUAAUGGAGUUUAUAUGGAUAUUUUGUUUUAGUGGAUUGUUUGCAUAUUUUAUAUUAAGAUACUUCUGUGUCUUAUGAAAAAGUGGUUGAUAUAAGAUGGAUGCGUUCAGCAUGGUACAUGGUUUUUAUACGAAAACAUAGCUUGAUCUGUAUCUAGAAUUCUAGAUUAGGGAAGUCCAGGGUCUCUUCACCUAUUUAUAUGCUUCUUACAUUACCCUGGUUUAAGAAUGGUAGAACCACAGACAAGGAUAAAAGGUUUCCCAUGAAGAUUGAAGAUGAAAUAUAUAGGUUCAUUUUGAAAGUGUCAAAGAUACUGAGGAGCAGCUAAGAUCACUGAGAGUAGUCGAUUUGGAUUUUUUUUUUGGUUGAGGGUAGAUUUUUGAACGACAUAGUUGGUGGUGAUUAGAAGGAUUAGAAAGUUUCAAGUAAAUAAUUCACCAAUAUGGGUUGGAAGUACUUGAAUAAAAGAAUCUAUAUCCAUGUAGUGAAGUUACAUAGUUAUGGGCAUAGUGGCGACAUCAUAUUGCUGUAGGAGGUUAUGGUUAGAAACUGAGAAGCCACAAAAAUAAUUUUCUGGCCAGGGAUCUUAUGAAAUACCACUAUGCCAGAGAAGCUUAUGCUGAGAUAUCACGAUGAAAACAAAGUAGAAUAUUAGAAAAUUAAAAACAGUUGUGCUGUCUCAUGUAACAGUAAGUGGUCACAGCUUGAAAAUAGAGCAUACAUAAGAUUUCCUAUACUGCAGAAUCUUCCAUACCUUGAGAACACAUCUGUAGAAGGUGACAGAUGUGAUUCCAUGGUGGCAGGAGGCAGAGGUGACAUUUUCUAUUUUAUAAAUCUUGGAUGUUCUUUUGGGGUUUGCUGAACAAGAUUAUUCUUCUUCACUUGCGAAACAGGAAUAAUUUGAAAAUGGGUUAUUACUGUAGGUGCUCUCUUGAAACCCCUCAUUGACUAUUUUUCUUGAGAUGAAGUCUGGUUAUAAAUGGAAUGAUUGUCAGUUAUGCUAGUUGGGUGGCAAUCAUUUGCAGUAGCCCAGAAACAAUUAGGUGAUGCGUUGAUGAUAUAAGGAUGCUAGGAUGGCAGUAUAUUUCUCAAUUUAUUUAGAUCUUUUGCGUGAUCAGUCCACCUGCAACCAAUUAGGUGGGAGAGAAGCAGUUAAUUCUUCAUCUCUGUUGGUGGUAAGGAUAUUUAGCCACCAAGCUGAAUUGGGUAGCUCAGAUGGUGGUAGUGUAUGAAGUAAAGAAUGGUAUUGGGGAAGAGAACGGCACCUUUUCCAUGUGCUGUGACUGGAAUGAGGAGUGUACAUUACUGAUACUGAUAGUCAUCAUAUGCACUCCAACUUUGUGACCAUUGCUGCAUCCUGGAAAAAGGUUUCCAGCAGAGGUGUUUUGUCUAUAGGAGAAAAGAAGAAGAUACUUUGAAACGCAUAUUGGUUUGUGGGGGAUGAUGCAGAUUGAUCAGUAGUAGUGGAGAAAGGCAGUUAGAUGGGGAAGAUAAAGCUAAUUUUGUUUUGACUUGGCUGUGUUAAAUUUUGCUGAUUCUACCAAGGCUCUUUCUGGUUAAAGGAUUGAUAAAAAGUACAUGAAGAAAAAGUGUUUGAUCUACUGUUUUUCUAAAGUCUCUCAUGCUGAGAAUGAGAAGAGUGUUUGCUAAAACUUGUGAAGUGAAUAGUUGAAAAUUACCAAAUUGAAGGAGGGAAUCAGAAAACAAAAGACAAUUACAUAGAAAAGAGAGGAUCUGUAGCUUCUGAUUUUUUUUUCUUCUUUUAAGUACCUUUAAAAGCAUCUAAGCUUACAAAAGCUGGCUAGAAGUUUGCAUGUAUGUUUUUCGGCCUCCCUGAAGUGGAAAGCAAAAGCUUCCUGUAAUUAUAUGUAGUGCUAGCUUUAUUCCGCCAUUUGUACUAUGGUAUUUCAUUUAGAGUUCCUUUUGCACUUUGUGUUUCAAAAGAAUGUUGGAAGUUGUUGUGGACUUUAGGUUAUUUUACUUCAUGUUCUUUGGAUUACUUGCUGAUUGUUGAAUCUUAUGUACAGGAAUCAGCAGAGGUACAGGAAUUAGCAGAGAGUUUCGUGUUGUGAGAGACAACAGAGCUAACCAUAAUAUGGAUGGAGAAACCAAGCCUGCUUCACCUCAAUGUACUACAUCGACCAACGAGCAAGUGAUUUCAAAUGUUUCUGAGAAGGGGUAUGUUUCCGUAUUGUUAGUCUAGUGUUUCCAUAAGGAGCGUUUCUAUAUUUACUCUUCAUUAUAUACCUAUUACUUUGCCAGAACAUGUUAUAGGCGAGUGAUGAACAAUUAUCUUCAUUUAAUGGAUUAAAAGGUAGUGUGAUCAAUGACAGAGUUUGUUUGCCAUAUAGUAAGUCAUACAAAACAAAAGGUGAAAUAUGUAGGAGAGGAGGUUUCAGUAGCAACAUUCUAAGUACUGGUGUGUUUUGACCCAUUGAAGUUGGCCUUUUAGAGUUUGGUACAAGCAGAUGUGAUGGCAGUAAUUAUUUUCUUCUUUUUUAUUGGGGGAAUAAACUGACCUAUGAGUAUGGAUAGGCAAAGUAAGGAAACUAAGUGAGUCUGUAUGCAGUAAUAUAAUAUGAUAUAAUAUGAACGAGCGAGCUGUUUGAUCAAUGUAGCAUUUAUGCGGUUUGUUUUACUCUACUUUCAGCCAAACAGGAAUUUCAAGUAAUCAAAAGUCAUUUAAUAGACAGCACGCCUCACAAGCAUUGAACGGGCAAACUGAUUCUCGAAUUAGAACCAGUGAUGCUAAUUCAACUGGUACGAUUAGAAAGGAGACAUCAGCGGAGAAGCGAGUUGCUCUUCCAAAUUCAGCUUCACGGGUACAAGCAGGGAGGCCAAACAACUCGCAACCACAUUCUGCAUCAAACACCUCUGUUAUUGGAGUGUAUUCCUCGUCCACAGAUCCUGUUCAUGUGCCGUCUCCUGAUUCUAGACCGUCUGCUUCUGUUGGUGCAAUUAAGCGUGAAGUUGGGGUGGUUGGCGUUCGGAAACAGUCUUCUGACAACUCCAAGUCAGCUGUACCAAGUAGUUCUUUCUCUAAUUCACUUUUGGGGAAAGAAGGCACUGCGGAAUCAUUUAGAUCUUUGACUGGUAUCUCUAAACCUGAUCAGCUCGACCAAACUUCUGAAUCUGUGAUGCCUAGCAUACCAGUCAGCAGAACUUUCAUCAGUAAUCAGCACAAUGUCAGGCCUCAUCAACAACCUGUGGGUCAUCAGAAAGGUAUGCUACGCCACUUGCUUUUAGAAUGAUCUAAAUGUGAAUGGAGUUGCUCAUUAAAAUGAUUAUGUUCUCGCAUGAGAAAUUUAAGAACAAAGUUUGUUGGAACAAAUCAUAAACGUCUGUCUUACUCGACACAAGUGAUUUAAAAAAAAAUUAAAAUUUGAGCUGAGAAACCAACUCCUACCUCUGGCAAAGCUGAAACAGUGUAAUUUGAUUAUGUUGCUGAAUUGUAUUACCACCGAAGUUUUUUUUUAAAAAGGAAUCCGUUUUAUUUUAUUUCUUUUGUUUUUGCUUAUCCGGAAUACAGUAUUAUGUUUGGAUUGAGAAGUUUGUAUUCCCUUCUGAAGAUAUUCAUUUAUUUAAAAGUCUGCUAGAGUAUUAAUUAUGUUUCCAGAUGCAGCUUCCCAGCCUAACAAGGAGUGGAAACCUAAAUCAAGUCAGAAGCCAAGCUCUAAUAAUCCUGGAGUCAUUGGAACACCAACAAAAUCUGCUUCUCCUCCUGAUGAUUCAAAGGUCUCAGAGUCUGAAGCGGUUCAGUUGCAAGAUAAGCUUGCCCGAGUAAAUAUAUAUGAGAACUGCAAUGUUGUGAUAGCGCAAAAUAUUAGAGUCCCUGAGAGUGACCGUUUUCGGCUAACCUUUGGAAGCUUGGGGACAGAGUUAGUUAAUGGAUUUCAAGCUGGACCUACAGAGGAGUCGAACAGGGAACCUCAAGCAAGGUAUGUGAUAUUCUUUUUAGCUAUAACAUGUAAUAGCUCAAAUUUGGUGAGAUGAGUUUGUAGAUCUGAUAUUUGAAGACUCAUUUUAUAUUGAACUCUUUGUACGUUCAGGUGUUUUGGUUGUUUUACUACAAUUAAACAAGUUCAUAUGUAGUUUUAAGAAAUUUGUUGUUAUAUAUAAAAAGCUGCAUUCCUGUGUGUAGCUAAUUUGGUUUGGCUUAUGUAUCUCACAGUUUGUCAACAUCAGCUCCCGAGUCACACAGUGAUGAGGCCAGCACGAAGCCAAUAGAUUUAUUAGAUGACCAAGUUAGGAAUUCAGGAUCCGAUUUUUCCGCACCAUCUGCAGUGCCUGAGCAUCUGCCUGAGAAAAGAGAGACAUCGAGUCCUCAGAGUUUGGACAAUUAUGCAGAUAUUGGUUUGGUUCGAGACAAUAGUCCAUCCUUUACACCUUCAGAUUCGCAGAACCAAGAUCCACCAGAGAUGCAAGGUUUUACGGUGAGUUCCAAGAUCCUUGGCACCUCAAUCCAAUGUCCUUCAUUUGCCAAGUUUGUGUAUCUGUGUCUCUAUAUGAUGAGUGUAACCUUUGCAAUUUUGUUAGAUAACGAUGAUGUUUGAUGUCUUUUCUUGUCUUAUUUUGUGCAUAUCACUAUAAAUUUAUAAGGCCUACUGAUUGUCUGUUCUGACUCUUCUCUGUUUGUAAGCAGGCAUUUGAUCCUCAGACUGGUUAUGAUAUACCUUAUUACAGACCCAGUAUGGAUGAAAGUGUACACGGACAGGGUCUACCUUCUCCUCAGGAGGUAUGUUUGCGUUGUCACACUCUUGUGAUCUGUAUGUUCUAGAAAUGCCUCUGAAUAUGUUAGCACUGAUGCCUAAUACCUUUGUGAUUUGAGUGUUUGGGAAGGUCUUACACAUUUCAUUUACACAUCUACAUAAUGAACGUUAUUGCUUGAAACAUUACUUCUUUUUGAUACGUGCUUUUUGAUUACAUUUCAAUCUAUUCAUAUAUUCUUGGGCACUUGUAAUAAAAGUCUUGUUUUCUGGUAUGUUUGAAACCGUUUAUGAGGGAACGUCAUGUUUCCCUUCCCCACAACCUGUAGUUUUGGGAUGCAAACUAGUUUAGCUUUCAUUCAGUUUUAUAUUUUUGGUUCAAUAUGCUGACUGCAUUAAAUAACAUAGUGCUAUGUGAUUAUGGUUUUCUAGGGCUUUGAUAAAUCUCUUCUUAUUUUUUGGCAAAGUUUUCGUAAAUAUCUCUAGAUACUCAAUUUUUGGCUCACAUGUUUUACCUCUACGUAAACCUGAUAAUCUAGUAAAUACAAUGUCACUGAUGCCGCCUCUUUCCUCUAAUUACAGGCAUUGAGUUCACACAAUUCCAACAGUAUCCCUGCAUCAACAGUUGCCAUGGUACAACAGCAACCACCGCAUGUGGCGCAGAUGUACCCGCAAGUUCAUGUUUCACAUUAUGCUAAUAUGAUGCCAUAUCGUCAGUAUAUCUCACCAGUUUAUGUUCCACCAAUGGCUGUGCCUGGCUAUUCCAAUAAUCCUGCCUAUCCUCACAUGUCUAAUGGCAACAGCUACUUGCUGAUGCCUGGAGGUGCUUCCCACCUAAAUGCUAACAGCCUCAAGUAUGGUGUUCAGCAAUUUAAGCCCGUAGCUGGAAGUCCCACUGGGUUUGGAAAUUUUACUAACCCAGCGGGUUAUGCAAUGAAUGCCCCUGGUGUAGUUGGAGGUGCUACUGGACUCGAAGACUCAUCAAGAAUGAAAUACAAAGAUGGCAAUCUUUAUGUUCCAAAUCCACAGGUAAUGUUUACCAUAUGUUGUAGGGGACUUAAUUUACUCUGAAUAAAAUACUGCUUGGUAAAAGUAAAUGCAUCGAUUGAAUAAAGGGUGAAUCAGAGGUAGCAUGAUUGCUGGUAAUGCUGUGGCAUUACUUGAGGUGUUUAACAUCUCUCAACUGUAUUGAUUACUGAUGUCUGGUGAUAUAUUUUACAGGCGGAGACAUCAGAGAUUUGGAUUCAGAACCCUAGGGAGCAUCCAGGAAUGCAAUCCGCUCCAUAUUACAACAUGCCUGGGCAAACACCUCAUGCUGCUUAUAUGCCGUCCCAUGGUGGCCACGCUUCCUUCAAUGCAGCUGCUGCACAAUCUUCACACAUGCAGUACCCAGGAAUGUACCAUCCUCCUCAGCCUGCUGCAAUGGCCAGUCCGCACCAUAUGGGCCCUGCAAUGCCUGGUAAUGUUGGAGUGGGGGUGGCUGCAGCUGCUCCUGGGGCACAGGCAUAUCAGCAGCAGCCCCAGUUGAACCAUAUGAACUGGACAACAAACUUCUGAUAACCAAAAGAGAAUGUGAAUCUAACUCCUGGCAAAAUGAAGUAGGAGAGCUGUAGUAUGGUUUUCCUCUGUCAAUCAAUAACCCAGACAUUCUUAUUUAAUGAAUCAAUGCUUCAUCUUGUGUUCCAUUUCCAAUUUUUUAUCGUUUGGUGUUUACCAUUGUUUAUAUGAUUGCGAGAGGUGGUUGCUAUCCGCCUGUGACCCGAUGGUAUCCAUUUCUGAAACCGAGUUCUGUAUAUGUGACUAGAUUUAGGAUUCGAGAUGGUUUGGCGGUGUUGAGUCUUGAAAGUAAGAGAUUGGUUGUUAGGCACACAACUUUGCAUGGUCUGCGUCUCUAGUCUCUACUAACAAAUUUGAAAGUAGAACCCUGCUUUUGGUUUUGGAAUGCGCUUUUCUUGUAAAGAAAAGAAAAAAAAGGGAAGGCUGCUUUUGUUUUUGUUUUUUGUUUAACCUAAAUUACUUUCCUCUUGGGACAGUGAGAGGGACAUGGAGAGUUCAUGGUUACGGUCUUGGCUUUUAUGACAAGAAAGAAGGGGAAGAGAACCCUUUAUUCCAGCGUUCUAUACCAUUCCAUGCUUUGUGUCAUUGUCCUCUUUCAAGAUCCAAGAAGUGUUCUUAUUUCCUUGGGAUUGCCAACAAAUGUCUUCCAUUUCCUUUGAUGAUUGUUCACACAUUCACAAUCCACAAGGAUGAAGGAUGAAACCCCACAUAACAUAUCCAUGUGUUUCAGUUUUUCUCACAUUUAUUCCCUUUGGCCGGGUGCCUGUUUAGGAUCGGCAAUUUAGACGCAGUGUAUCAUCUUGUUUACUUUCAAUGUAUUUGAAUUCUUCUUUCACAGACUUGAAUUCACAUUUAGAUUUCAUAUAAACGUAUUUUCAACAUCAUGUAAUUGUUGAAAUGAACGAUACAGCGUUCUCAUACAAUACAUAGCUUUUUUCAAAACCGUAAGAUUUCUACCUCGAUCACUUAAUUGUCUACAAAAUCCAAUGAUACAAUCAUAAUCAUGAUAUAUUCGAAGAUUAAUGUAUCAUCAAAUUGUGAUUAAAAUCAGCCUCUUGGAUUGAACAGAUAUGAUUAGAAUUGUGGGAAGGUAUUUCUUUUCUAGGUUGGAUUCUCUUCAAUAUAUCAAACCCGACAUGAGUUGUAUAUAGCCUUUUAUAGGUUUGUGAGUUUCAUGUCCCAGUUCACAAAUAUAAAAUCGAUGCUCUCAUGAAAUUGAGAAAUGAAGCAAAGGGGUGCGCACGUGUAGGGGCCCCUGACAGAUUGUUCCUCAGUCAUUGCUGCUGGUGGUGCUCAUCUUCUCCCUCACGCGUGCCCCCUCCAGCUCAACUUUUUCCUUUCUUUCUUUUUGGCCUAACCCGAUAUCUCAGUCGUCCGUACAGACCCUUACAUGGUGGCCGUUUUCCGUUUGAAUAUUCGGAAAUAGAUAGACCGGCCUCUUUACAUGUAUUCCUUCUUGUUGAUCUGCUCAGUAAAACCAGACUCGAUCAACGGUUAUUAGAUACGAUACUGGGUUCGAUCUUGUUUAAGCUUUCCUGUUUGUAUUAGGGAUAUAUAACUAGAUGAAGGCAUAAAACGAGGUGAUUUUAGGGAAGCUUCAGAUUGGCAAUUAAGGAAUUAUGAAUAGAGGAUCCUUUGGUAAGGAAAAGUCUAAGAGUACGUUGUGUAUUAAUUUGCAUCAUGAUCAUUUGAAGACGGUUUGUUUAUGCAGCUGUGAGUUGUAUUGUAUAUAUGUAAAUGGUGGAACCAUGCACAGCUCUUUGGGUAGUCUUGGCUUUACGAUAGCAUAAUUGAGAUGGGGGCAGAGCAAUCUAUGGUUGCAAUAGAAGCCAAUAUACUGGGGGUCUUUUUCUUUUUCUGAUAUAUAUGUAUAUCAUGGCUCCUUUCAAAAAAGAAAUGUAUAUCAUGGCUAGGGCUAGGGUUUGAAUGACCCAUCUAUAUAUGCACUGCUGAAAGUAGUUUGAGAAGAAAUGAUGGGAGCAUGAACGAAUGGAGUUUCCAAGCAAUUAAGCAGAAUGGUGGUGUACCAAUAUUGAUCGAGGCAUCACCAACCAUCAUUUUAGAUUUAUUCAUGAUAAAAUGGAAGAAAGAAACAAACUGAAAGAGAUUGAUGUGAUCCAAUUUUCAUAUCCAUUCUGCCACUAUGGACGACGCACCAAUUAAAAACACCACUUAAGACCAAUCGGUGCAUGUUGCAUGUAAUAUUGUCCAAGAUCGAUCAACGAUCCAUCAAAUCAAGAAAUGUGCUUUGUGCACUAUAAUCCUUAAUGGAAAUAUUGUCUUUCCAAUAUCUAGUUUUAUGCGUGCAGGACAAAUUAGUUUAUGUGCUAGCUUACACCCAAAACCUUUUUAUCCCAUGUUUACUUUUGAUAUUUGUCAUGAUCAUGAUUCAUGAGUAUUAUCGAUAGCAAUCUCACUAAUAUGGCAUCAACAAAUUGAAACCCCAAUCCAAAAAGUUAGCUUGAUAAGAUUAGGAUGGACUUUCUUGAAUCUUUUUCUUAGAACAUUAAUAAGAACGAAUCUGUCUCGUUGUUGUGAAUGUGGAACAGUACCUUAGUUCUCGAGGCUAGCUAGAAGCUUCAGAUUAUAGUUAAGAAAAUGGGUAACUACAACUCUAUACUAAUGGUCCGUUGAUUUCCCUUUUUUUUUUAGUAGGAGAAAAAGACUAAAUUACAAAGCGAAGCCUCUGAUACAACCAGUUUGCAGAGAAUUUUAAUAAAGAGCAGCAGCAGCUUGCGUAGGAAUGGUGUUCAUCCAAUGCUUGGUUUUGGAAGACAAUGACCAACCGAAGCUAAAGCAUCAGCAAGAAAGUUCACUUCCCUAAGAACACGAGAGAAGAAAAUGGAAACGAAGCUUUGUGAUAUACACACAUAGAGGUGAGAGGUCAUGUUACGUGUCUAACAAGUCAAUGGAAGGGGACGGUGGUGGUGGAAACUAGAGUCUACAUCCACCAGCAAGAAAAUUAUUUCGAAACGUUCUUCAAUUUCUAUAAGGUGGGAUGGUUUGUGAUAGUGGGAAUAUUAUGAGAUAGGAUUCUUUGCCUGCUUAGGGCAUGUCAGUGUUUGCAUUCGAUGAUCGAUCAAUUGGUAUUUUGGGUCCCUGGCUAUAGCUGAAUUGGUCGACACAUGACCAGAAUGGAAUCUUCUUAUUUCAUGUUUAUAUGAAUGUGUUUCUAACAUCGUGAUCUCUGAAGGGAAUCUCUCCAACUUUUUUCAUAAUAUGCUAGCCUACUCUAAAUCAGUGAAUCAUACCUUAUACGUACUUAUCUAGCUACCUAACUACUAGAUAUACAUUUCCGGCAACUAACAGCCUUUGUGCGCUUUGGUGUAGCCCAUCCAUUUUCUCGCUAUUUCCUCUUUCUUUUCUUCUUCUUUUUCGUAUGUUUCAAUCGCUCGUUUUCUUAAAAUUUAUAAAUAAUAAAUAAUGAAAAUAAAUAUGUUAGGCGAUAUUGCUCCCUCAACUUUGAUCUACAUCAAGUCAUAUGGUUACCUUUCAUCUAUAUUGCAUCUUGUUAGUUUUUAUUGUUUUUGGUAUAGAUGUGUUUUACGCAUCUUGUUGCAUUUUUAUUUAGGGUUUUGUUUGAUGCUCUGCAUCACACUAUGUAUUUUUUUGAUUUCACUUUAUAAAAUGCAAGUCGUCUUCCUUUACAAAAAAAAAAAAAACUUUGAUCUACAUUAAAUUAAGGGAAAAUACCAUUUGCACAAAAUAGAAAAAGUCAAACCCCAUUUCAAUGAUAAUCUUUUUUAUUAGCCUAUUUGAAUACAAGGUACUUAUUUUAAGCCCAAAUACACAAAUCUUUAUUAAAAUAUAAUAAAAUGAUAUUUUAAAAGAUUUUUUACCCUUAACCUUUAUUUAAAGAGAAAAAAAGAAAAAGAAGAAGGGAAGACUUUCCCGGAAGCACACCGGACACCAUCGCCGGUCACCGGAUUCCGAUCGCCGAACACCGGUCGCCUGAUUCCCGUCACCGGACACUGGCCGCCGGAUUCCGGUCACCGGUCGCCGGAAAAUUGAUGGUGAUCGGAAAAUCGCCGGAGACGCCGGAGUCUCACUGGAUUUUUUUGAAAAAAAUGUCACCAGAACCCACCGGAUCUUGCCGGAAGCAUACCGGCAAAAAAUGAAGUUUACUACCCCUAGUAAACUUUUACUAGGGGUAGUAAACUUGCAAAACAGUAGCUCCAAUGCCAUAAUUCACAUUGAAAAAGAGAAAAAUCAACUUAGAUACGAAAAAAUAAAGUUUACUACCCCUAGUAAACUUUUACUAGGGGCAGUAAACUUGCGAAACAGUAGCUCCAAUGCCAUAAUUCACAUUGAAAAAGAGAAAAAUUAAGUUAGAUGCGAAAAAAUAAAGUUUACUACCCCUAGUAAACUUUUACUGGGGGNNNNNNNNNNNNNNNNNNNNNNNNNNNNNNNNNNNNNNNNNNNNNNNNNNAUAGGGCUACUACGGUUGUGUCUAACACUCAUGUCACACCAUAAUGGUAUUUUACCUCAUUAUGGCGGAUCAGCACGUAUGGCUAGCUAGCAUUUACAUAUACAUACUAUCAUCAUAAACAUCCAAUAAACAUAUCCACCGAAAAUCUCAUUUUCGGGAUCUCUCCAAAGGAGGAAAAUUGCCAAUUAUCCGAAAAAUCAUAAAUCUCAGGAAAAGAAUUAAAUGAUCAACAGAUAAUUCAUCGCAUGCUUUUCAAUUAAAAUAAAGGUCCACUCACAAAUUAGGCCUAAGCCUGAUGACGCUCCGAGGCUUCCUCUGCUCGGGCCUCCUCUCGUCCUGUUCCAAAUAUAUAAUUAAUUUCCCAACUAACAAUCCAAUAAUUAAUCAAAAUAGGCAAAAUUACCCGAGAGCCAUAAACACACUCAUCAUUGCCUAACUUCGAUAUUCUUAAAUCGGAACGAUCCGAACUUAAAUAUCAUCUUCGGCAGUCGUAAAUAUAACCUCCCCAAAAAUAUGACUUAAAUCUUACGGCCGGAUUCUACAUUAAUUAACCGCCAAAAAAACCAAACUUCGGAAAAUCACAAACCUAUCCAAAACUCAUCCAAAAAUUCCAUAACUCACUUCAAUAAACUCCCCUUAAUAUUCUAUAUUUAAAAACAUAAAAAUCUCCCAACCGGCGGCGGCGGCGGCGGCGGCCGGAGGCCAAUUCCGGCGACCUCCAAAACCUAUGAAAUUUUGACAGAAUAAUCCUCUCAUCAUGCUCUACAACUUUCCUAACUAGCACAAACACCAAAUCCAAGCCUAACUAGGGCAAUCGAACACAAACACCUAAAAGCCCUAUAAAUUUCAACUCCACAUUUCUCCUUACCUAGCUCAAGAGAGGGAGAGUCCUUUUAGGGCAAGGCUGCUGGGUUAGAGGGCUACAAAACCGUACCAAGCUUGCCCGGAUUGGUGGCCGGAGGAGCGAGUUCCGGCGAAAAGCUUCCCGGCGUUUCCGGCGGGUUUUCUCCUCUUCCGGUGGGUUAGAGGCUCGGGGGCUAGGCCGGGGAGGGAGAGGAGGAGAUGGGGGUCCGAACUGGGGUGGAGCGGCGGCAGCUGGCGGCUGGACGAUCCGGCGGGGAGAGAGCACGGGAGAGAGAAGGAAGAGAAAAGAGAGAAGAAGAGAAAGAGAGGAAAAAUGGGUUGGGCCUCCCAACCGGUCCAACCUUAUCAACCCAACUCAAAAAUAAAAACACCCCGAAAANNNNNNNNNNNNNNNNNNNNNNNNNNNNNNNNNNNNNNNNNNNNNNNNNNGAAUCGAAAGUGAAUCGGAUUUCCCUUCCAAGCAAAUCUGAAUCCACUAAAUCUAUACAUCAAGAUGAACAAUUUGACCACCAGAAGAGCAAACAGAGCUUACCGGGAGGUUUACAUGACGGUUGACGGCGAGCUGGUCGGGUCGGAGGUGCCGUUUCCGAUGGUGUUCACCGACGAGAUGAAUCCAGAGAUCGUUGCAAGCGAGAGGCCCGGUUGUCGAGGAAGAUGGUGACGGUGUAGUGCCGAUGCUCCUUGCUCGAGGGCGUCGGUGGCGACGCUGUCUUCCACCAUGGAAGUUCGUCGAGGUGAGAGAGAGGAAGAGAGAGGAGAGAUGAGAGAUGAGUGAGAAGUGAUCGGGAAAGAAGAUAAGAAAGGAGUGGUGAGAAUAUAACAGUGGGUAUAAAUGUCUUUUCCUUAUGAAUAAUUGAGAUGGGCAUUAGGAAAAGAUUAUCAUUGAUGUGGGCAAUAAAUCUUUAAAAUUAGUAUCAUUAAGGCAUUUACUCUUAAAUUAAUGUAUGUGUGUACGGUGCAUACGAUAAUUGCUCAAAGAGAAGUGCUCUAGAGCUAACUGUUUAGCUUCAUAUUAUGACACUAAACAUCCUUUAAACCGACUUAGCAUUCACAUAUCAGUAUCUCCAUCCUUUAGUUUUUGCGUCCUUAUGAUUUGAUUGUCAAUCAUGCAAAUUUUCAGCUAAAUUAAUGAUUAUUUAACCAGUUAAUUAUGAGAACACUUAUUUUUUGUUUAAUUGUCUAUUUGUUAGGUCUAGACAAAUUCAAGACUCAUUCUCAACUUUUAAUUGUUUCAUAGUACCAAUAUUCAAAUGCAGUAUUGUCACUGCACUCAAAGUACCUACAAAAGAAAAUAAUGAAAACUUCAAUCAACGAAUUGAAUGUCUAUGUAUGUAAGUAUAUAAUAGCUUGCUUGCAUGUGUCUUCUUUUUGUUCAUGUUUAAGUUCAAACUCGAGUUCUAACCCCACAGUAUUUGAUGACUAAUUUGCUCCAACUUUUGGCAUGGAAUACUUCUUGCAAAAGGGAACACGUGUAGCAUGUAGUUUCAUGGCUACAUUGGAAGCAUGAUUAGUUUGGGUAAAGUAUUAGGGUUUAUCAAUUAACUAGUACUAUACAUGAUAUAGAGAAUUAAGAACACAUGGGAAGGGAAGGUGAGCAACGGCACACGAACUUUGCUUUUGCUUAGUCUAUCAGCUUAAUUAAUCUUAAAUAAUCAUACUUUUCUCUCUAUAAUACGACAUUUUCUAGUGUCCUAAUCCAUUUGAUAGAUUAAUCAAAUCACAUGUAACUAGCGAGCUAGCAAGCUUGUUAUUCGUUUUUGGGGUCUUAGAUCUCUAUCUCUAGCUCACAACUUUCUCCCAAAAAGUUUAGAAGCCACGAUUGCAAUCAUUGUGCAAAUAAGCACGACCAACUAAGAACAUGCUCUCUCUCUCUCUCNNNNNNNNNNNNNNNNNNNNCUCUCUCUCUCUCUCUCUCUCUCUCUCUCUCUCUCUCUCUCAAUAUAGCCAGCCUUGAACGGACAAAUAAUCCGCUUAAGCAACUCUGGAGAGUUUAGACAGCUGCCUUGGAGCUGUUUACGAGCUCAGAAACUGUUAACGUGAUCUCAAACCUUUCUGAUUGAAACUACCGUAUAUGAAUCGAAAUUGAUUGAUCCCAUAAAAACGUUGUCCCUAAACCUUCAGCUAAUUAUCUGUUUGUUCCUCUACGUGAACGGGACGAUCAUAUACACGCAACUUUUUCUCUCAAAUUAUUUUGAUCGAUCCGUCUUCAUUUGAAUAUAUACUGCUGAACUUGAACAUACAAGAAAGAAGAAAGAAGCUAUAUAUGAUCUUUAAAACCAUGUCCUGCCCUAACUUCUAAGAAAUAUACGCCCCUAGAAUCCUAAAUGCAUCGUUUGGAUUUUCCUGCCCUAAUCGAUGAGAUUGAUAUCAAAGGCAAAAUAUAAAAAUAAAAAUAAAAUUUUAAAAAAUGAGAAGAGAUAAAGUGAAUAUUUGUUUACAAGAAAUGUGGAAAAUUUGUCAACUAUAGCAAUUAUUUGAACAACUUUGAUCCUUUUGAUGUGCUUGGUGUGAUAGAAGUCAUAACCAGUCAGAAGUUUAUACUGAGAUCGAGCUGGCCGCAUUGGUUGACUGAGGAUCCAACCAAGAUCGAUCUCCUACUACAACUCGGGCUUAGGGCAAUAAUACUGUUUAAUCGAUCAUACCUACUGUUCCACGCCAAAUCCCACCUCUGCAAAGUUAGAAAUUACAAGACCCAUAUAUCUUUACUUUCAAAAGACCCAUAUAUCUUUUAUUUUUUUCUUACAUUAUGAACUUAAUUAUAUACAAUAUUCAUUUUGUGAUAUGAAUGAGAUCUUAGCUUGGUAAAGCCAAGAUCCUUAACAGUUAAAAUGCCAUUCUAGACAAUAAUUAAAGACCCCCCUAGAGAUAAGAAAUAGAAAAGCCUAUAUCAGUUGGUAAAUAGAAGCAAUGAUAGAAAGACCUAACUAAUCAGUAAAAGGUGCUACUAUUAGAAUCAACGUCUUCUAUUUAUGUCCUACACUGGCCAUUAAGUAUUGAUUAAUGUGUUUUCUUUUUGGAUUAAAAGCAAGGAUCUUAGGUCACCUCAAGUCUAAUUAAGCAUUUAAGCAAAACUGUGUGUAAGUAGGGCACAGAAGAAGAAGGAUUAAGAAGCAGCCAAUCCCAUUCAAUAAUGGCAAAAAUUAUGAGAAUCCAUCGAAUAGUUAAAUACAAAGUUAAUUGGUAUAUAUGGGAUUAAUUUUUGCACUCUUUUUAUUCAAUAACUUCAAAAUUUGACGGAAAAUGCCUUGGCGCUCAAUAUAUGAAGCGUAUUUUAGCUAAAGUAGGAAAAGAAAAAAAGAAAAAAAAGACAAAAUGUUUUAACUUUUUUUUUUCAAAUGGUGUGUAGAGAUCGAUGUAAACAAGAGAUGCUAUACGUACUAAUUAAUUGGAGAAUGGAAAAUGUAUAGUUCUAGUGACAAAAGAAAGAUAAAUUUCCCAAUCAAAAAAAGAAAAGAAGAAGAUAGUAGUCUCAACUCUUAAGAGAUAAUUUCUUAAAUGACGUUAUAUUGUUGAUGAAGUGGAUUAAGUAUUGCCUACUCUCUAUCUUUGGCGGACGAGGAUCCGGCUUUAUGACUACUAACGAGAUCUGAAACUUGUCAAAAGAAAUGAAAAGCAGCAUCAGGUUAGAAGACCGUGUUUGGCGGUCUUCACUGCUUUGUUGCCUAAGUCAGUCAAUGUGUUCAUGUUGACAGAAUAACGGCUAGGUAAUUAGUAAAUGUGUCAUUAUUACUGAGAGAGAAUGACAUCUUUUGUAAUUGAGGGAAAUAGUUAAGUUUUUCUUCUUUUCGAUGUGGGAUUGAGGUCUCAAAUGGGCUCAAAAAAGGUUUUGUCAUGCCCUCUUGGAGGAGCCUGUGAUGCGCGUCUGAACGCCUAACAAGUGAGGCUUAACAGCUAAUGAGAGUUGUUACUGUUGUCUUGUUAAUGGUGUAGACGAUUCAGACAUGUUUGUCGCUUAUAUAUGUCUGGUAUAUAUAGCUUAGGUGAUGCUGAAUAUGGAUGUGUAAGCAUAUGCAUCUACAAUUGACAUGUCGGUGAGCCGUGGUCUGGUUGGUUAAGGUAUUAACUAACAACUUUGAGGUCAUGGGUUCAAAUCUCAUUGACAUAUAUAUGUAUGGUGUGUGAGUUAUUUAAUAAUUUAAAUAAAAAAAAUAAAAAAAACAUAUGCAUCUACAAUUGUUUUAUAAUGAAUUUCCAGCUUUGUGUUGCAUUAUUAGUGUUUUCUCAUAAAAUAAAUUAUAAAAAUUUGUUCCAAAAAUAAAAAUAAAAAUAGUGACACGUCAUUAUUUAGAAGCUGGACCCUAUUCCAGCUUGGAAAUUGCAUGCACGCGCUAACUCCCACCCCUUAUAAGAGCGUGUGAAAAAAAGAGACUCGCACACAUUCCCUCUCAAUCAUCCCACUUUGCUCUCUGUUUUCCUCUCUGCUAAUUAAGCAGGCGUGGUCUCUGGUUUUCAUUACACAUUUACACAGACUCACUCACUCUCUCUCUCUUUUAAGGCAUCAAAGAACCCAUCGAAACCCCCAUGCCUGCUUUGUUUCUUUCUUCUUUUAACCCCUCACACAGCUACUGCUACUAGACACAGUGAUGAGCUCAAAGCAGAGUGUUCCAUCAUUGAACAUCAAACCUCCUCUGUCGUCUCUGACGUCUCUGUUUCACUUCUCUUUAGUCUUUACCAUCCUCUAGCAGACAAAACCGAGCGAGCUUCAUCAUUGAGCAUCAUUCUCUGUUUCCCAUUCCUGUACUCUCCUCUGCUUUCAGUUUCUAUAAAUAGACAUGGAGAGGUGGGAUCACAAAUCACAACGAGAAGCUCGACACAUUAGUAAGCACCGUAGAGAAAACCCUUCUUUCUCUUCGUCUCUGCUUGACUCUAUUUACCGCUCCAUCGACGAAGGUGAAGAGAAUAUUGGAACUCGGAGAGAAGGAGAGCUCAUAUUUUAUAAGGAAACCAUGACGAGGAAGAAACAGAACAGUACUACUAUUGUUUCUUCUCACGGCGUCAAAGCAGAGGAGGAGAUCAUGAGUCUCCGGCGAGCCUGCUUGAUAGAGAAGUGGAUAGAGAAGAAAGCUGCGGCGGCUGACAAAGUCGUGGUUCGAAGAAAUUCCAUGGCGGAUUUCGACAGAAGGUUCUUGAAUUCGAGCUCCAGCUCUUCGGAUUCGAGUUGUGGAGGUGGGUUUUCUUCAUCGGAGUCAGACUCCAUGUACGGGUCGAGAUCGAGGUCGUCGUCUUCAUGCUACAGCAUGCCGAGGCCCAAACCCAUCCGGACCAGUGUCUCAUCAACUCGACCGGAAAACCAUCAUCAGAAGCCGAAGCAGGAAAACGGAUUCGUGAAGACGAAAUCCAAGGCGUUGAAGAUUUACGGCGACUUGAAGAAGGUGAAGCAGCCAAUCUCACCGGGAGGAAAGCUCGCCAGUUUUCUCAAUUCCAUUUUCAACGGCGGGAAUGGAAAGAAGCACAAGAUUAACAUCGACGACUUGGGCUCCAAAUCGACAAACGGGUCCAACUGUUCUUCGGCUUCUUCGUUCUCGAGGUCCUGUUUACGCAAAACCUCUGUUUCAAGAGGCGAGCUCAGCAAUGGCGGCGGCGACAGUGCGAAAAGGUCGGUGAGGUUUUAUCCGGUGAGCGUGAUCGUCGACGAGGAUUGCCGGCCGUGCGGGCACAAAACUCUUGAAGAGAUAAAGAGGAGUUUUGUAAUGGAUGAAGAUGAUCAUCGUCGCCAAGUUGAGCAAGUAGCUAGAAGCUAUUUGAUGAAGAAUUACCAGAAGAAGACUCACGAUGUGGAAAUGGAGGAGGAUGAGGAUGAUGAUGAUGAUGCAGCGAGCUAUGCGAGCUCUGAUCUGUUCGAGUUGGACACUGUUGGAGUUGAAGAAAGGUACCGUGAAGAAUUACCGGUGUAUGAAACUACGUAUUUCGACAGAAAUCGAGCCAUUGCUAAUGGUUUGAUUUUGUAAUUUUCAGAAGGAAAAUAACAAAAAAAAGAGGGAAGGUGGUGAAAAUUUUAUUAGCUUUUGAAGUAAAUGUGGUUUGGGGUUUACAUCAGAAAAUUAAUAAUAUUAGUUUCUAUUUCUUGCAGUGCUAAUUAUUCGAGCUAUAGUCUUGAUCUUUAGCUUCCAAGCUAGCCUUUUGGUUGAUUCGAUUUGUUCAUUUCCUUGAGUAACUAAGAUGAUCAUGAAUUUAGCAGCUAAGAGUUUACUUCAGAUUUGAAUAAUCAGUCUUGAUAGAUAACAAUAUAAUACACGUAACAAGUGGUUAAUACGUGAUACUCCGUUAGAAUUUAAAUUGAUGUUAAUUAUUGAUUAAAAUUUAUUUAUACGGGUAGUACAUGAUCAAAACUGAAUGUUUACCAUUGUUUUUUUUAUGACAAAACUGAAUGUUUACCAUAGUUCUUGAGGUUGAAUGAUUUGAGUUUAUGGAGCGGCGAGUGUAGUGAAAUUAAUAGCGACCAAAGAUGGAAGAUCUAUUCACACAGAAAACAGGAAAAGAUAAAGAGGAAGAAGAUGAGGUACUUGAAAAAGAAAACAAUAGAAAAUAAAAGCAAGAGCAGAUUUUCUUCAUACUCUCAUCACACUCUGAACGUGGGACCUUUGCCUUGCUUGAAGAUGACACUAAAUAUCCUCAUGCACUAUAAUGAUAUAUAUGCAGAGAUCGUUAACAGUCAAAAAGCUGGAUCUUUCAAACCCUUUAUGCAUCCUAAUACAUUUGUUUAUGCAAAUUAAACUUCAAAUUUUGGCGAAAAUUGUGGUUAAAGUUACCGACGGAGUGUGAUUUUGAUUGGCUGCCUGGGAUUUAGAGGCGGUAAAAUGAGGUGAUCAAUGAUGAGCUUAGGGGAAAGCUAAAGAAGGAGAUGUAUGCAUGGUCUCCAAAGCUGCGGACAAAAGGAUCUCAUCUUUGAUUCUAAUAGAUGUCAAAUUGGUUGGUUUCUCAGCUAAAGAGUUCUAAUGGCUAAACAUAAGGGACAUUUUUAAAUAUCCUACCAUAUAUACAAAAACAUAUUAGGGGUUCAUAAGUUUUAUUUUCUAACUACCGGGCGUAUGUAUAAUUCAAUCUAAUUCUUUUAGAAUCGUACUCCUAAUCGAACCAAGAAACCUAAAAGCACCAAACCAUCUCUCUGUUUCAUUUUGGCCACAAAGAUCUAUCAGAACCUGAUAUACCGAGUACAAACAGACGUUCCCGUAUUCUUCAAUACUUGUAUGGUACUUGUAUAGCUGUGACAGAGAUCAGUCGAAUGAAAUCAUAGUCGAUCACUUUUAAAACAUACUUGCAUAUGUUAUAAGAUAUACAAAUGUUUAGUAUAGAGAUCAUAGGAUUUCGAAAUGUUCUACUCCUUCGAUAUUUACUUCUUCUGUCGUUCUUUUUGUAAGUUUGUAAUUGGCCUGGUCUCCAUGAUUGGCGCUUAGAAUUGCAGCAAGUAUGCAAAAUGUCAAAAAAGACAUAACCUGCUUUAACAGUUGUUCUGUGGUUUAGAAACGAUCUUAGACUUGGAAAAAUAUCUCCUAUUCUACAACUUUAUAGUGGAGCUGCUACUUGGUUUGGAGUUUCAAUAUAUCCAAAUGGGAAAUUGGAAGAUGUGAGAAUUUGGGGGAGGGGGGGGGGGGGGGGUCCUAAGGAUUUUUGGGAAGACAUAAACAACAAUUAAGCUAAUUAACCUUUUAUGUUUCUAAAGUAGUCGUAGAAUCAAGUCCAUAUGUAAGAGACUCGAGAGGACCACUAAAUCAUAACAGUUGAUAUAUGCUAAUUAAACUAUCAUGAGCUAGCUUAUUCUUCACUAAAAUUAGUUCAAGGACAUGAUUUAAAAGCAGGCUAGCUUAGCUUGGACUAUAGGAAAAGAAAAGGCUUACCCCAGGGCCAAACUAAAGUGCUAUAGGCUCGAUUGGCUACUACAUUGAAAAUAUUGGCCGAAUUGUACUUAUUAUUGGAAAUGUGAUCGAUCACUUGGUUGGUUUUGUUCGCUAAUAGGGUUAGUGUGUCAUAUCAGCUGAUUAGUAUAGAUAUGUAAAUGUGGACGAACAACAAUGAUGCCAGUAGAAUGAUGGUGGGUGAUCGAUGAGACCACCUAAUAAGCCAUCCAUGCAUGCUUUGACCUAUUUUGUAUAUGAUGGUCAUGAACCCUAAUCAUCAUCAUUGAUGUACUCCCUUACCUAAUUUUCACCAAUGUCCAGUUUCUCUUUUUCUGCCCAUUCAAUUCGAUCAUGCUCAAAGAGAAAAUUUGCGUUGGAUAGUAUUCAUUGAUUUAAAUCAUGCUGAAAGUUUUGAGAAAACUUGUAUAUAUUCAUUCUCUGAAAUACUACUAAAGAUCGAUAAUGGUAUCGUUUAAUAUCUUUAAAUUCUUUUCUCUGUUCAAAUACUUCAAUUUAACUAAGUAUUCAUCUUAGAAAUAAAUAUGCAUGUAUUUAGAUUGUUCGAAGUUUCGUUCUAUAAUCAAAUUUCAUGCUUAACGAUAUGUAUUUACUUAUCUAGAUAUCUUUCGAUUAUAUCUUUAACUUGAAAACGGAGUGCUAUUAAUGUUCUUUGUUCUUAACUAGCUAUCAGUGCAUAAUAUCUUCAAAUAUCUAAUAAGAGCGUACUGUGAAGGAAAUAAUACGAUAUAUAUCGAAUGCAACUGCUACCACCCAAUCACUUAAUUGGUAAUUAGUUCUCAAAUUUACGUAUAUGGAUCUACAUACGAAUUCGACUAUUAUUGUCGUCAUUCCAACUUAAAACAAACUGUACCAUAUAUAUAUAAUGGAACUUGACUAUUAUUGGCAGCACCCAUCCAUCCUCUAAUAAAAACACGACUUGUUGCCAUCAUGAAGCACUAGGCUAGGGCUAUACGCAGGCACAUAAUGCAACCGACCAACCAUGCACAAGUCACUGCCAUCCAUGCAUAAUUGACAAUACAAAGUAAUAUUAAUCACCAAGACUACGAUCGGCAAGUUCGUAUGUGGCUCGUACAGAUUCUGGGUUUGGGGUUUCAAGUAUAAACCAAAACGAAUUGAUCACUGGCUUGUGGGCAUGUCGAUGUUCAAGGGUGCACGAUGGGUCACGUAAUUUGGACUAAUCUGUGUUCUUUGAAACAGUGUGUCCCAAGAGAGAUCGUAUAUAUCAAUAUACAAGUGAUUUGCUGUAAUGCCUCGACAUUAUAGGCUCUAAAUAAUUUGGAUGGUGCUAUCCGUUUAGGGGGGAAACAAACAAAUCGAUAUCUCAUAGAACUUGUUGGUGGUCUACAUGAUUUGUUAGUUUCUGAGUGAAAUUUUCUGACAGUAUAUAUAACAUCUCGAUUUCUUAGGCAGUGGGGAUUUCAAGAAUGAAAUUGAAUGGUGCUUAUAUGAAGCAUAGUAUAUAUAUAUGUAGUUAUUACACCCUUACACACCUUAAUUAUCAAAUUAAGAACCCUAAUGGAUGUGCAUAAGAGCUGUGUCGGUGGAUAAUUAAGUUGGGCAUAGGAUAUAUACAAAAUCUUCUUCUGUGAAUUUACAUGUUUCCAAAGUGAAGUGGAUGGGAAGAGAGACAAAUGUUAUGUAUAGUGGCGGAGCCAGGAUUUCAAGGUGGGGGGGGGGGAGGGGGCGGUCUAAGUAAAAACCUCAAGAACAAAAAUUUUUCCCCCUUAAAUUUACCUUGAAAAAGAAGAUAAAUGCAGUAAAUCUCAUUAAGAAUACUAGUUGAAUGGAAAAUAAAUGUAAUAAAUAUGAUAUUAUGAUUAGAUGACACAAAAUUAAACCUAUCAAAUGUUUAAGUUUGAACUAAUAAAUAUUAAUAUUUGAACGAAAUCAGAUUUGGCUAUAAUAUAGGGGGGUUCAUUAACAAAAUUAAGGGUAAAUUUGUUAUAACUAAACUACGCAAUUAAAGGUAAUUAAGACAAUUAAAAACCCAACCGACCCUCCCGGACCGUAAUGUAGCUCCACCACUGGUUAUGUAUUGGUUUCUUAUUAGCAACUUACACCCCUCUCCCGUAGUUCUCUGACUUCUCUAUUCUCAUCCACUACGCCAGGAAAUGCCCUAUUUUAUCUCAUACGAUCUCCACUCAUUUUACAAUUGACAAUGAAAUAUACGCAUUUUUUUUUUUAUAUUACAACAACCUUUUGUUUUUGGUCUUGGGUAUUUAGAUUUAGGAGAGGCAGCCCACUAAACUAGGGAUAUUAUGAACGAUUACUUAUUUUAAGCUAUAUGGUAAAUUCAGGUUGUAUUGUGUGUCCAAACGUUAUGUAUGUCGUAAGUUGAGUAAUGUUAAUUGAGAUGAGGAGUAAAUUGUAUCGAGUGAAAACAUAUAUCGACAGUUAGCUAGCUCUCGAUCCUCCGGUCGAAAAACAUCAACAACGUGACACAAGCUUUUAUCACAAAAAGGGAAAACAAUAAAUAUAAAAAAAUGAAACUAAAUAGCUCAAGAAAAGCAAAAGGAAAAUGACAAAACUGAACGUGAGCUGAUCAGUACGUACAUAGGGUGUUGUACACUUCCCACAGGAACAUCGGAAAUCCAAGCAUAUAUGCUACAUGAUUCAUAGUUACAUGAACUGGAUUUUGGAGUGUGAGGAUUUGGCUGCAAGUCGGUCUCACUUUAGUUAAAGUAUUUUCUCUGGCCACCGCACGUGACGGGGCCGACCACCGUGCCCCAGCAGCUGUCGCGCACUCACACGUGUGGGCGUCGUCACAGAUCCCAAUAAAUAUCCGCUGUCGCCACCGCCAUGUCACCACUGCCCCCCUACGGCCAAGCAACGACAUCACCACCACUCGUGCUCUGACACCUGCGGCAGCUUUGGCGGGUGAGAGUACGAAACUGACCUCGGAAAUUGUAGGGAGGGGUCGUCUUUCGAUGGGUAGUUUUGGGAGGAGGGGGCGACAGGGCAGCAGCUUUAGGAAAAGAAAAGAUGAUCAUGGUGGUAAUGGUGGUUUGUGUGCACCUGUGUGUCUGUGAAAAAAGAGAGAAAGUGGUAGAGAAUAUUUAGGUGAUCCCAAGACGAUUGCUCCUAGCUAGUGAUGAAACUGCAAAAGAGAAGUGUCCGUUGCAGCUUUUGCUUUUCUCCUUCCUUGUUCUCGAGGGAGGGAGGGAGGUUUGAGAGAACAAGUUUGAACUCAAACUCGGAGCGGAUCCUACCGAUCGAACAAAGAUAGAGAUCCUAAAUUUAUUUAUUUUAUUUUUAUUUUUGAUCCGAUCAAAUUAGACGCUUAUAAUAAAAGUAUAUCUUAUUCAAUAUUAAGUCCUCACCUCUUCUGUUAAAAACACUUAGGAUUAUUUUUUUUAGGUUUUAAUUUUGUUAACGUUAUUAGAAUACAUGUAUGAUAAUGCGACUUAAAUGACCGGAUCAAAAUAUUACAUAUUAGUUGCUCAAUUAAUUUACAUUUUUGUGCGUAGAAGAAUUUUUCACUCAAACUCUGGCGGGCUUGUGGAAAAUAUGAAUUAGCAACUGAUAUUGAAUCUACAGUGAAUUGAAGCUUACAUUAAUCAAUCAUAUCAAUCAUAAGUUAAUAGAUUUUGACUUGGAUAAGAAAACAGGUCAUUAAGAUGUGAUUUCACUUCAAAAGUUGGAUAACAAAAUGAUGUUGUACGUCUAAGGAUCAAUCUGGAUCAACGUUAUCUCGUUAAUUAAUAUAUAAAACACUAUGUGAUUCAUCAAAGUAUAUAAUUAUACUUAAUUUAGAAUCACUGAAAUACUAAGUUGGUCUCGUAAAUCAAAGUUCGUAUCUAGCUUAAUUGCUUAAACAUCGAUUCUUUGCCUUUGACAUCUUUUUGUGUGCUAACUGCUAAUUAGCUAUUGAUUCAAAACCAAUACAAAAAAAAAAAAAAAAAAAAAAAGACCUCUCUCUCUCUCUCUCUCA